rnacentral:lncRNA from 1 species
GUCGUCAUAGUCUGAGGAUGAUGGCAUGGGCGGGAGGAGGAAGAAGGGCAUCAAGGAGAAGAUCAAGGAGAAGCUCCCCGGUGGCCACGGUGACCAGCAGCACACCGGUGGCACCUACAGACAGCAGGGUACUGGCAUGGUCGGCACCGGCGGCACCUACGGGCAGAAGGGUCACACUGGGAUGACCGGCACCGGCGGCACCUACGGGCAGCAGGGUCACACUGGGAUGACCGGCACCGGCGGCACCUACGGGCAGCAGGGCCACACUGGGAUGACCGGCACCGGCGGCACCUACGGACAGCAAGGCCACACCGGGAUGGCCGGCACCGGGGCGCAUGGCACCACGGCCACUGGUGGCACCUACGGGCAGCCGGGCCACACCGGGAUGACAGGCACGGGGGCGCACGGCACCGGAGGCACCUACGGGCAGCACGGCACUGACACCGGCGAGAAGAAGGGCAUCAUGGACAAGAUCAAGGAGAAGCUCCCAGGCCAGCACUGAGCGCUGAGGAGAGCCCGCGGCCGCCACUUCUGAGAGUGGAGGUGCCGGUCGACCACCGUUGCAGAAUCAAUAAUAAGAUCGCGAUACGAUACAAUAAAAUUCCACCAUACAACGUGAGCCUAGUUCACCUAGCUCACUUGCGUGUUGGAGGAGCCACUGUAUCUAGGCUCAAGUUUACGUGAACAAACAGUGUUUUGAGUUUUUCGUCUGUUUAUUACACUGUAUAAUCUUGUAAGUUUCCUGUGGUUAAACCCUGUAUGUACGCUUUACGGUAUGGUCCUCGCGUACAGGUUAGUUCUUUAUCAAAUAAAUAAUACCGUCUUAAGAGUAGCUUAAGAGCGUCAUAUGUCUUUUCUUUUUCAAGGAAAGCCCCAUGGCGCACUUCAUUUAUUAUUAAAAAGGACUACAUCAUUGAAAACAUCACUUCUAAUAAAACUCGGGAGUAUCACCCUCCCAAAAACUAUGAAUUUGAAUCAAAAGCAUAUCUAGCAAUCUUGUGCGCCACCCCAUUAGCUUCCGUAGAACAAUGAAUAACCUUGAUAGAGCCAUGCACUUGGAAUUUGUGGAAACAUUCCAUCAGUAUAGCAGCAUAUGGACCUAGCACCUCUGUCUCACCAUUACAUACUUCAGCAAUCACCAGGCCGGUGGUUUCAAUUUUCCCCUUUUCAUUUUCGUUUUAUGAACUUCUUUCAAAUUCUCGAAUACUUGCUGAAAUCAUGAGCAUUUUUGCAAUUCAUGAAUAUAUUUUAAAAUCAUGAACAUUUUUUGAAAUAAUAAACAUUUUUCGAACACCGGACAUUUUUUUAUGAAGUCCCGAGCUUUUUCUGAAAUUGUGAAAUUAUUUAGAGUAUGCAAACAUUUUUAGGAAGUUUUCGAAUCGACGAACAGUUUUCUGAGCCGGCAAUCAUUUUUCAAAAUUUUGGUAAAAAAAUAAAUUCAUGAAUAUUGUUUUGUUUAUAUGAACAUUUUUAGAAAAUGCAUGAACAGCUUUUGAAUUCAUGAACAUUUUUUGACUCAGCGAGCAUAAUCGAUGAACCUUUUUGAAAUUGGGGAGCAAAAUUAGAAAUCAUGAUUUUAUUGAAUUUUGUUUUCUGUAUGUAACAAAAAAAAUAUAAAUUCUCCAACAUGUUCCAAAUAUGCAAUCGUUAUUUUAAAAUUAUGAAUAUAUUUUUAUUUCCUGAAUAUUUUUGUGAAAUCAUGAUUUUUUUUAUAAUAUCCAACAGUUUUAUAAAAUCACCAGAUUUUUUUGAAUUCGUGAAUAUUUUACAUUUUUCUGAGCUUUUUUGAAUUCACGAACAUUUUGUUUCGAAACUCGCAACUUUUUAAAAUUUGACAACCCCCAAUAAUUUUAAUGAAGGAAAAACAGAAACAAAAUUGAGAAAAUGAAAGGUAAGAAAACAAGCGCUUCCUAUUCAGAGAGAAAAAGGGAGAGAAUAAGGAAUGAAACUAGGAUCGAACUCCUGUCUCCAGGAUAGAAGAGUGAGCCUUAGCUACUGUGGUGCUUAUGCGCUUGUGAUAUUUAAGGAUAUCAUCGUAUAAGGGUGUGUCUGGUUGAGGAACAAACUGUCACGGAAUGAAAUGGUUCCAUUCCAGAGGAACGGGUCGGUUUCGUUCCUGUAUUUGGUAGGUGCAAAAAAGUAGAACGGGUUGGUUCCGUUUCAGUGUUUGGUUUGAAAGAAUGGAAUGAAAAAUAGAAUAACAGAAAUUCAAAAUUUUGGCAGCAUUUCAUUUGUAUUUUCAAAAAAAACAACAUAACAAUAUAUAUUGACAUAGAACUCAAUUUUCAGCAAUGAAGUAGCAAGUUCAUUUGGUACAUCCAGAAGCAAUCAGCCAUUACAUGUCUUUAACAUACAAAUAACCAAAGCAAAGUGCACUACAGCCAUACACCAUUACAUAGCAGCACAUAUUGAAAUAAAAAUUGGGUAACCAUGGAUCUGCGUACUACACAGAAGCACAUAUAUAUGAAACAAAUUGAGGAGGAACAUGGCACACAGGAAAUAAAAUCUGCCCAAACAUGAACAUAUACAGAGAUAUGCAAAGGGGUAGUGGAAACUGCACCUUGCCUCCGCUGCUAGCUGCUGAUCUAGACCUUCUGCAGCACCUCCGGUCGCCCCUACGUGGUAGCCGCCCCGCUGCUUCGUCGCUGCUCCUAGGAUCUGGAUCGUGGCCGAUCUGAUUUGUCGUUGCUGCUUGCUAGGUCGCCGCCAUGAUGCAGAUGCGCGUCAUCACAGAGGAGACGACGGGAGGAAGGUGAAGCCGGGCCGGGGAGGGAUGGAGAAGGCAGAUCGAGAGGGGGGAGAAGCGGGAGGGUGGCGGUGCUAGUCGAGGAGCAGCGAGAGAGGGGGAGAUGCGGGAGCAGCGAGAGGAAAGCGAUAGGGUACGGGUGCGGGGCGAGGGGCUCGUUCCCUGUCGUCCGGCCGAUUUCGAGGUAUGCCUCGGUUCGGCAUAAUGAGCGAAUAUUCCCUUUCCUGGGACGAGUGGGUUCUGAAUUGUUCGACUUACUAAACGCUGGAAUGGGCCGUGGGAAUGGGUCGGACCCAUGACGUUCUACCCGGUGACAACAACCAAACACACCCUAAGAACCAAAGCUGACAACGACUUUGAAAGAAAAAAAAUUGAAUCGUUUUCUUCACUUAUAGUUGAUAUAGUUAGUAAUUUAUGGCUGUUUUGGGGGUAAUUUUAGGGUGGACGGGCGAAACUCCGUCUUAGAUACAGUUGUAGAAAUACAUGAGUAAAGAGAAUAUAAAUGUUAUGAAUUUAGUUCAAAUAGAAAUGGUUGAAGACUAAUACUAGGCUUUUGCUCUAUGAUUACAUUUGAAGUCAUUUCAAGUACUGACAUGUUCACCACUAAGGGCAUCACCAAAGCGGACCCACAAAUCGCUUGCAAUUGUCUGGACUGCUCGGUCCGGGCGUGUUUUGCAUGCAACACGGGUCUAUACCGGUCUGUCGAGUGGUUCGAACAUAUUUUUUCCCGUAAAUCAGAGACGAACUGGGGGCGGGGCCGGGAGUCCAGACAACACCCAUGUAGGACUCUGACACCCCCGGCCACCCAAAACCCCACCAAAACCACUCCCGACCCCGUGCCUUCAUCCUCCCAUUUUCUCUCCCUCUGUUUUUCUCUCUUGCCUUCACCGCCGCUCCAUCAUGCAAGCAUGUGUUGCAGUUGUUCGUGGACCUACUAAACAAUGGAUCCGAAGGCCUUGUGAGAGAUGAUGACCUGUUGUGUAAUCAUCCACAAAAUGAUCAUGGAGGAUGAUGGUGAGGAUGUUGUCGUAGUUCUUGAAUUUAAGAACAUGGGUGAUCCUAUCAAACUUACAGACCAGAAUUUGUCCACAUUUGAAGAGUUUGUUGAAAUGCAUCAACAAAUUCGUCAUCGAGAAACUCACUAGCAACUGAAGUAAGAUAUGAUUAAGCAUAUUGAGCAGUUAAAGGGGACAACGAUGUUGGGUGUAAUAAUUGAACUAUUUUAAAUUAGAACUACUACUCAUUUGAACAUUUGAACUAUUCUAGACUAAAUAUAUGGCUAUUUGAGCGUGCGAACUUAAAAGAAAUUGGGCCCGGAUGUAUGCGGAUAGUGUGUUAAAUGAUCGGCUCCUGCAUCCGUGUUCACGGACUAAUCCCUGAUCACGGACGGACGCGGGAGAAAAUUUGCGAGUCAGCAUUGGAGAUGCCCUAUUAUGGCUUUGCUAUCAUCAUAUCAUCAUCAUCAUCAUUAUUAAUACUUGUACUACUACUGUUACUAUUAUUAUUAUGGAAUUUGUGGGACUAAAGUUGGAUUGCGGAUUGGAGCCAUCUUGCUCAAUAUAUUUGUGUUUUUGUUUUGUUUCUCUUCAUUACAAAUUACAUUGUUAUGAGGGAAGGUAUAUCACCCCACUCCAUCGGUCCAGCCAGUCUAACUUUAUAUCAGUAGGAUGCCUUUCCAGAGAUAGGUACCCUUGUGAUUUUCAGCUCUUACGUAUUUAUUCUACUAGAUGAUACCACACGUGUUGUUGUGGUAUUUUUUUAAAUGAAAUGCACAAUUAGGUGCUACAUAAAUAACUAAAACUAACAAAAACAAAAUUUAAAAGUAUUUUUGAUAUACACUUUAAAAACAUUAAAAAUUAUGAAGCAUAUAACAAAAGCAUAUGUCAAAGAGGAAAAAAAUAGAUUGCAACUAAAAGAGUGUCAUUCUGAAAUAAUCUAAAAUAUCUACUACAUAGGUAUGCUCCAAGCGCCCAACACAUAUAUCGUGUCCAUGAGGGCACAAAACUUAGUGCGAGAAAAUUAAUUGAUAACUUAAAUGAAUGAACAUCAUAUGAGAGGGCAGUGCUGCAUGGACAUAGUAAUGCAAAAAAUGUAACCUAUAAGUUACAUGUAUGACUUACUGAUGUGGCAUGGUUGUAUGUAGUAAAAAUAGAUAACAUGUUGUAGUUAUUUAGCAAUAGAGAAAACGAGUGUAGUUUCUAAAAAAAAGUGAAGCAUCAACUAUAUAGGUAUGCUCCAAGCAUCCAACACAUAUACCAUGUCUAAGGAGCACAAAACAUAAUGCAAAAAAUUAACUGAUGUUCUUAUAUUGCAUGAACUGAUGAUGUGACAGUGCUGCAUGCUGGAAUUUUGUCUAUUUUGGGCCUAGCCCAAUUGCAGUUACAGAAAUUCCUAAUAAAUCCUAGAGGCCCACGCCAGCCCAUUCGUGUAAGGCAAGAGGUGGAACUAAAAUUUAGUCCCACAUUGCUAGUUUAGAGGGAGUUGGACCUCUUUAUAAUGGAGGCUCUUUCUCCACAUGUAUGAGGAUGAGAACAAGAGGGACACCCACGCCACGCCACGCCUCGUCACGUCACGACGCGUUGCGGUGCGAGUUGCGGGAAUAAGCUGAGCCGAUGUCUAAAUUUUUGCCACGCACGAUGGGUAUACGAAAGGUCACUCGGAAGCUGAAACGUUUUUGCUGUAGUGGAGAUUGAAUACGAACGGCGCACCUCUUCGCCUGCUGCCUGUUCGUUUUCGUCUCCCUCGUUCUCUUCAGCUCCCGGUGCAGCCUCUCACCUCCUUCUCUUGCGCCUAUAAAAGGGAGGUCGCUCCUCUCAGAAAGACGCAUCAGAACCUCUUCUUCCUCUCGCCACAAGUUCCUGAGCACUGUGCUGCUGCUAUGUUCUUCCCCAUCCCGACUUGCGGCGUGCACCGAAGGUCGGGACAGUAGGCCUCCAAAACCGCACCUUUUGAGUCAUGUACAGAAGAAGGGUGAUAAGGUUUUUGGGGAGCGCUUCGCACGACUAUUGACUUCUUUGUCACGGACGUCCCGAACUCCGACGACUACUUCCCCAACGACGACUUCUUCCCCGACGUCGACAACCUCCUCGACGACAUGGCUGGCGAGGACACCGACCCCAAGUCCAGCUCUUCUGCUGCUGCUGUCCCGUACGCGUUCUUCCUCUUUCUAUUAGAGGCCCUGCUACAGUUCCUUGUUCUAGUGUUUGCCCUAGAUAUGUUAGACUCUGUUUCAUAUAUGCAACUUGCUAUAUUGUCUACUUUAUAUGUGUUUAGUUAUAGUUCAUAUAUGAAGAUGAUGUUUACCUUCUCUUUGUCAAAUCGCAUGACCUGUUUUAUCACUGCUAUACUAGUCGUGCUUUAUCUAGUAUUUCUGUUAAUAAAAUCAUUCGGUAAAUUGCUCAUAUUUCCAACAAUCCAAAAACCUUAUUAUAGGCAAUUUACCCCGAGUGGUUUUGCUUCUUCCAUGAAACCUCCUAUGUUUGAGGGUAUCCACUAUAAGAGGUGGCGCGUGAGAUCAGUCUUAUGGUUUCAAACCAUGAGUUGCUAUGACGCCACUCUCGGCAAACCUGAAGGAGAGCUUGAUGCUCAACAGGCACAAGCUUUUCAGAAAAUGGAUACUCUGUUUAAGGCUGCUCUCUUGAGUGUUCUUGGUGAGAACAUAGUUGAUGCUUAUGCGUCAAUUGAUAAUGGAAAAGAUAUGUGGGAUGCACUCGAGGCCAAGUUUGGGGUCUCGAAUGCUGGCACUGAGUUGUACAUCAUGGAGCAAUUCUAUGAUUACAGGAUGACUGAAGAGCGCUCCAUGGUUGAGCAAGCUCAUGAGAUACAGUCAUUUGCUAGAGACUUGAGCACUUCAGUUGUAUGCUACCGGACAAGUUUGUUGCCGGAGGUAUCAUCACUAAGCUUCCUCCUUCAUGGAGGAACUUUGCUACCUUACUGAAACAUAAGAGACAUGAGUUUUCCGUCCCGGAUCUCAUUGGCACUCUUGAUGUGGAAGAAAAGGCGAGAGCAAAGGACACACGUACUCGAGGUAUUGAGGGAGAAUCUAGUGCCAAUAUGGUAUAGAAGAAGAACUUCUAGCCCCACAAGUUCACGAACAAGGGCAAGUUUGAUGGUAAAGCAAAGUUUGAUGGGAAGAACAAGGCUGUGCAACACACGAACUUCAAGAAGAAGAAUGACAAGAAGAAAGGUGUUUGUCAUGUGUGUGGGGAUCCUGAUUAUUGGGCUCCUAGUUGCCCCAAUCGCUAUGAUAAGCGUCAUCCUGGGAAAGGCGGCAAGACCGCUAAUGUUGUCAUUGGAGACACUAAAAUGAAGGAUGCUGGACCGCAGGGACUUCAACCGUGCUGAUGGGCAACAGUUCAAGUGCUUCUAUUCGUGGUGUUGGCACGGCCAAUCUGAAGUUUACUUCGGGGAAGAUCGUGCGGCUGAAGAACAUGCAUUAUGUCCCCUCCGUCAAUAAAAAUCUUGUUAGCGGAUCUCUUCUGAGUAGAGAUGGCUACAAACUUGUCUUUGAGUCGAAUAAAUUUGUAAUAUCCAAGUAUGGAACCUUUGUUGGUAGAGGCUAUGAGUCAGGAGGACUAUUUCGUUUAUCCUUAUCAGACGUUUGAAAUAAAGUUGUUAAUCAUAUUUGCAACAAUAGUGAAUCAAAUGUGUGGCAUUCACGUCUUUGUCAUGUUAACUUUGGUUGCAUGUUGCGACUAGCGAAGUUGAACUUAAUCCCUAGUUUCACCACUGUCAAGGGAUCCAAGUGUCAAGUGUUUGUGCAAGCUAAGCAACCUCGUAACUCUCAUGUGACUACGGAAACGAGAAAUCUUGCACCACUAGAACUCAUACAUUCAAAUUUAUGUGAAAUGAAUGGGUUUUGACAAAAGGUGGAAAGAAAUAUUUCAUGACGUUAAUUAACAACUCCACUAGAUACUGCCGUGUGUAUCUUCUGAAAUCUAAGGAUGAUGCUUUGAACUUUUUCAAGAUCUAUAAAGCUGAAGUGGAAAACCAACUUGAUCGGAAAAUCAAGAGGCUUAGGUCCGACCGUGGUGGAGAGUAUUUUUCCAAUGAAUUUGAUACUUUUCGUGUUGAACAUGGUAUAAUCCAUGAGAGGACGCCUCCCUAUUCACCUCAGUCAAAUGGGGUGGCCGAAAGAAAGAACCGUACUCUAACAGAUUUGGUUAACGCCAUGUUAGACACACCGGGUCUCUCCAAGGCAUGGUGGGGGGAGGCGAUAUUGAUUGCAUGUCAUGUCCUAAACUGAGUUCCCACAAAGAAUCAAGAGAUAACUCCAUUCAAGGAAUGGGAGAAGAAAAGAUUAAAAAUCUCUUAUCUACGAACCUGGGGUUGUUUGGCGAAAGUCAAUGUGGCAAUUCCAAAGAAGCGCAAGCUUGGACCAAAGACCGUGGAUUGUGUUUUCCUGGGAUAUGCUUUUCAUAGCAUUGGUUAUAGAUUCUUGGUUGUAAAAUCUAAGGUACCUGACAUGCAUGUCGGUACGAUCAUGGAGUCGAAUGAUGCGACUUUCUUUGAAGAUAUCUUUCCAAUGAAGGAUAUGACUACCUCAUCUAAUCAGGAGAUGCCUAGUUUCGUCGAAUCAGGAACUGGUUAUAAUUACCGAACCAGCCAUUUCGAUGGAACACUUUGAAAAUCCUAUGGAGGAGAACAAUAAAGUUCCUACUAGGAGCAAGAGACAGAGGACUGCAAAGUCCUUUGGUGAUGAUUUUCAAGUGUAUCUCAUAGAUGACACUCCCAGUUCUAUUUUAGAGGCCUAUGCAUCUGAAGAUGCUGACUACUUGAAGAAGCGGUUCGUAGCAAGAUGGAUUCCAUCUUGGCGAAUGAAACUUGGGAGAUAACUUAUCGUCCUUAUGGGUGCAAACCUAUAGGAUGCAAAUGGGUAUUCAAGAAGAAGCUUAGGCCUGAUGGUACUAUUGAAAAGUACAAGGCUCGGCUCGUGGAGAAGGGUUAUACCCAAAAGGAAGGUGAAGACUUCUUUGAUACUUACUCACCUGUGGCUCGACUGACCACUAUUCGAGUUCUACUUUCACUAGCUGCCUCACAUGGUCUUCUCAUAAAUCAAAUGGAUGUUAAGACUGCUUUCCUAAAUGGAGAGUUGGACGAGGAAAUUUAUAUGGAACAACCAGAUGGGUUUGUACUAGAUGGUAAGGACGGAAAAGUGUGCAAGUUGCUGAAGUAUUUGUAUGGACUCAAGCAAGCACCCAAAUAGUGGCAUGAGAAGUUUGAAAGAAUUUUAACAGUUGCAGGCUUUGUUGUAAACAAAGUUGACAAAUGUGUGUAUUAUCGCCAUGGUGGGGGCGAGGGAGUUAUCCUUUGUUUGUAUGUUGACGACAUACUAAUUUUCGAAACAAAUCUAAAUGUUAUUAAGGAGGUCAAGGAUUUCCUAUCUCGUUGUUUUGAGAUGAAGGAUUUAGGAGUGGUUGAUGUCAUUCUGAACAUCAAGUUGUUGAGAGACGAUAAUGGUGGGAUUACAUUGCUUCAAUCUCACUAUGUGAAAAAGAUCUUGAGUCGCUUUGGCUAUAGUGACUGUAAGCCCUCUCCAACACCAUAUGAUGCGAGUGUAUUACUUCGAAAGAAUCAAAGAAUUUCUAGAGAUCAAUUGAAAUAUUCUCAUAUUAUUGGCUCACUUAUGUACUUAGCCAGUGCUACAAGACCUGACAUCUCUUUUGCUGUUAGCAAACUGAGUCGGUUUAUCUCAAAACCAGGAGAUGUGCAUUGGAAAGCUCUAGAGAGAGUUUUGCGUUAUUUGAAAGGCACUGCGAAAUAUGGAAUUCACUACACCGGGCACCCAAAGGUGCUUGAAGGGUACAGUGACUCAAACUGGAUCUCAGAUGCUGAUAAGAUAAAGGCCACGAGCGGAUAUGUAUUAACUCAUGGAGGUGGCGCUGUUUCGUGGAAGUCUUGCAAGCAGACCAUCUUAACAAGGUCAAAAAUGGAAGCAGAACUCACAGCACUAGAUACAGCUACGGUCGAAGCAGAUUGGCUUCGUCAGCUCUUGAAUGACUUGCCGAUUGUUGAGAAACCUGUACCGGGUAUCCUUAUGAACUGCGACAAUCAAACUGUAAUCACGAAAGUGAGCAGCUCAAAGGAUAACAUGAAGUCAUCAAGACACAUUCAGAGAAGGUUAAAGUUUGUCAGGAAAGUGAGAAACUCCGGAGUUAUUGCAUUGGAUUAUAUCCAAACGUCUAAAAAUUUGGCAGAUCCUUUCAGUAAGUGUCUAUCACGUAAUAUGAUAGAUAAUGCAUCGAGGGAGAUGGGAAUGAGACCCACAAUAUGAGUUGUUCAAAGUGGUAACCUAGUCUAUGUGAUUGGAGAUCCUGUGAAUUAGAUGUGGAAGAGAAGCUAUUGGUCAACUAAGAGGAGAGUAUCCUGACUAUUAAUACCACUCCAUGAAGAUGCAAUACUCUCCUAAUCUGCAUGGCAGGUUGAUGUAUAUCUUAAUGUGUUCUAAGUGGCUCUUUGAAGAAGAGAUGUUGUCCUGCAGAACAUCUUUUGAAGAACGCACCUAUAUGAGUCUAAUUGUUAAACGUCACAAUCUAUGAGAGUAGGGUUCUCUCUAGUAAACUCAUGAAAGGUCUCGGAGUAUGACGCAUAAGCUCCACCCACGGGGAAGACCCACGGUAGCCAAGUAUUCGCAAAAAACUUGCAGUUCAAGGCCCAGUCCAUUGUCCAAGUUGCUUACUAGUGUAGCAUAGAGUUCUAGGAGGAAGUUCAACUUAACAGUCUCCACUGUAGUACUGGUAUAUAAAACAGUGUUUGGAACCAAAGGCAAAUUUUGUGUGCCUUUGGGAUCUGGUGGGGGAUUGCUGGAAUUUUAUCAAUUUUGGGCCUAGCCCAAUAGCAGUUUCAGAAAUUCCUAAUAAAUCCUAGAAGCCCACUCAGCCGAUUCGUGCAAGGAAAGUGGUGGAACUAAAGUUUAGUCCCACAUUGCUAGUUUAGAGGGAGUUGGACCUCUUAUUCCACUCGCCACAAGUUCCUGAGUAUUGCGCUGCUGCUAUGUUCUUCCCCAUCCUGACUUGCGGCGUGCACCGCAGGUCGGGACAGUAGGCCUCCGAAACCGCAUCUUUUGGGUCAUGUACGGAAGAAGGGUGAUAAGGUUUUUGGGGAGCACUUCGCGCGACUACUGACUUCUUCGUCACGGACGCCUCAGACUCCAACGGCUACUUCCCCAACGAUGACUACUUCCCUGACGUCGACAACCUCCUCGACGACAUGGCUGGCGAGGACACCGACCCCAAGUCUAGCACUUAUGCUGCUGCUGUCCCGUACGCGUUCUUCCUCUUUCUAUUAGAGGCCCUGCUACAGUUCCUUGUUCUAGUGUUUGCCCUAGAUAUGUUAGACUCUGUUUCACAUAUGCAACUUGCUAUACUAUCUACUCUAGAUGUGUUUAGUUACAGUUCAUAUAUGAAGCUGAUGUUUACCUUUUCUUUGUCAAAUAGCAUGACUUGUUUUAUCACUGCUAUACUAGUCGUGCUUUAUCUAGUAUUUCUAUUAAUAAAAUCAUUGGGUAAAUUGCUCAUAUUUCCAACACUGCAUGGAUAUGCUAAUGCAAAAAUGUAACUUAGCAUGCAUGACAUGUUGAUGUGGCAUGGUUACAUGGCUAGGAAAGGAGUAGUGGUUUAUGUCACAAUUAAAUCCAAUGUGAUUUAAGACACACUUAUUGUCGGAGGGAUGAACCCCGGGCAGGCAACGGAACCUGGAUCCUCUUCAAAAAUAGUGGGGCCCGCAUCGCCCCUCAAACCGGCACGCGCCCGACCGUGUCGCUCGACCCGGCAAGGCCUGCAACCCGGAAAAACUCUCUGACCCGGCAAAGUACGUCGACCCGGCCUCAGCAACUGGCGCAUGGCAGCCGAACCCGGCACGACCAAGGCUUCCCCAACAAGCCGACCCCACCUGUGGUGUGCGUCGCAGUCCAGCCACGGGUCAAGCUCCCGUCCCAUCCAGGCCGUACGAUGGGACGAGAUCUCAAUCACCAAUGACCAAGACAACAGUGCUUCCACCCAUGCCUUUGGUCAGCCGGAGCAUGGCAACAGUGCCCCUCACCUACCCGCUGACUGGGGCUGGCGUGGCAACUGUGCUCCCGCCCUCACCGCUGACGGCAUCAAGCGGCAACCUGACAGAGAGUAUUGUACGCGACUCGACUCGGCCAUGCCCCGACGAUCGACAAGAUGGCGCACAGUCCCCCUAGCACGCGGGGCCCGCACCUAGGGGAACCCGGCGAACCACAAGCCCUCAGCGGGACACAGCCCGGCAUCCCGGACACCGACAAUACAGACCCACCGACUCGGCGUAUUACCAUUGUAACCCUGGGUGGGUUGAUCUAUAAAACACCUCAGGAACCCACACCUACAUGGGCAUGUACAAGGUAGCAUGUGAGAAACAGAUACAAGGGACAAGCAAGAAAGCAUAGGACUAGCCACCAAACCGCAACACCGGAGAGAAGGAACAGCCCAAGCCUUGGCCAGCUUCCUUCCUCCUCCAUACAGCUCCAGGAGAAACAUUGUACUAUCGAUCAUCCAACUACACUCAGCAGGACUAGGGGUAUUAUCUCUCCGGAGAGCCCCAAACCUGGGUAUGUCCGGUGUCCCGUGCCCACUCAUGCCAACCUCGCCUCUGGAGCCCACCAGCGCCCUCGAGCCUCCUCCUCUCUUUAGCCAUCCCUUGGCAUCUGCUGUGCACCCACCACGACAGUUGGCGCCCACCAUGGGGCAGCUCAAGGAGCUAGCCGGGAGCAUGCUUUAGAUGGGGCCCUUCUCCUACACCGACGAGUCCGUCGUGCUGGCGGACGAUGUUGUCGGCGUGCUUACCGCCUCCUUCGCCGCACUGCGCAUCUCCGAUGCGUUCGUGGCUGAUGAGUACCCCAGCGAGGUGCUUAGCUACUCCGACUCGCCGCUCUCCCUGGGCGGUGGCAUUGCCGCCGGGGCGAUGGACGUCCAUGUGGAGGUUUACGUCACCGACGAUGGCGCCUCCUCCUCGUCGAGCAAGACGAGGAAGGCCGUGGAAGCCAGGGCCACUGCGGAAUGGACCGAGCCGUCCGAUCCGCUGUGCACUGCGAUGCAGAGCCUCCGCACCCCCAUCGGCACCGACGUCGACGCCACCAACGUCGCCGAGGCCUGAUCUUAGCUCGAGGAAAGGCGCCAGCAGAUGUUGGACCUGUCUGAGACGCUCGCCGCCACCAAGCGGCGCCUGGAGUCCGCUUAGAUGGAGAAUGAUGCCGCCCACGGAUUCACGCCUGCCACGGCUGAGCCAAGUCGGGUCGCCAAUGUGCGUACCCGGGGAGGAGCGAUUGGUUGGGCCCUCGGCGCCGUCCGAACCGUCUACGAGACCCCAGUGAAGAACAUGCGCGCUGCAGAGGCAGCCGCGGUCGGCAUGGACCAGCUCACGGGUGAGGAGCUGAAAGAGCGCAUUGGGCGGAUGCGAGCUCCUCCACGUCGCCAACACCCAGCAGGAUUGCCUCAACCAGUUCGCCAAGCCGAUGGGAUCCAGCUCCGCCCACCUUGGUGGACCCGAUGAACUUCUGCACACAGCUUCCUCGCCGCCCGGCGAGGCGCACUCGGCCAAGCCCAUACUCGGCGCAACCCGGCCGCCACAGCCGCCGCUGUCCUGGGCAACGAGCCCGCCGCGGAGACCUAGCGUGGACCCGGCCAGCAUGGUCGGCGUCCGGCUCCAACUGACCUGGCCCCUCGGGGCCCGGCCGCCAGUCGACUCGGCCCGCGCGCCAUCGAUGACGCAGACGCUCGCCACCGCCUCGAUCAGCUCGCUCGCUCCCUGGAGGUGGAGGAGAGCGGCGCUAUCAGACCGGCGUGCUUCGGCCCAUGCAUCCGGGAGGAGCCCUUCCCCAAAGGGUUCGUGCUCCCCCGCGACACCCCCAAGUACAAUAGGACUGUAAAGGCGGAAGACUGGCUCACCGACUAUACCACGACCAUUGGCAUCACCAAUGCCAAUCGCCAUCUCGCCGUGUGCUACGCACCGCUCACACUCCAGGGGUCGGCCCGCACGUGGUUGAACAGUCUGCCGAUGGGCAGCAUCAAUGUGUAGGUCGACUUUGAGGAGGCCUUUGUUCGCAACUUCGCGGGGACCUACAAGCGACCCGGUCGCCCUAGCCAACUCGCCAUGUGCGUGCAGGGGCCGACGGAGACCGGUCGCAAGUACCUCGCACGCUGGACCGAGCUCCGAAACAGCUGCGAGGGCGUCCAUGAAGUCCAGGCGAUCCAGUACUUCGUCAGCGGGUGCCGAGACGGCACCCUCCACAAGCACAAGCUCUUGCGCUCCGAGCUGGCCAUCAUGGCCGCACUCAUGGUGACGGCGGACAAGUACGCCAACGCUGACUCCGCCAUGAAGAUCCAGGUGGCGCUGGAUGAAGCCGGCAAUGCGAAGCCGGUUCCUCCCUCGAAGCCGGCCGGUGAAAGCAGCCGGCAGCAGCAUCACCAGAACAACAAGCGCAAGGCCGACCAGCCGGCGCAGCGUCACGACAACCGGCAUGUUGCGGCCGCCGAGCCUGUGAAGGACCCGGUGGCGAAGCGUCGGAAGACCGGCAAGAUGGCGUGGCAACCCGCCAUGAGUUUCGAAGAAAUGCUCGACGCCCCAUGCAAGCACCACAACGGCGCAAGACCCUCCACGCACACGCUUUGGCAGUGUGCCAUCACCAAGUGCAUCAUGAGGGGAGACGUCCCGCCUCCUCCGGCUCCGGCUCCAGCUCUAGGCGCGGGACAGCCGCCUCCGCCUCCACCGCCGCCUCCCGCUGGUGGCGCGAUGCGGAACGACGCCUACCCGAACCAGAACGCGGCCUAUGUCGUCUUCACCAGCCUCGGCAACGACAAGUGCAGCGAGCGCCUUCUUCGGCAGGAGGUGAACACCGUCGUCCUGGCCAAGCCGGAGUUCAUGCACUGGUCGGAUCGCCCGAUCACCUGGAUCCGGGAGGAUCACCCAGCAGUCAUGCCGAGUCCGGGUGGUUACGCCCUCAUCCUCAACCCCACCAUCGUCGCGUGGUGCACAUGCAAGUUCUCCCGGGUCCUCAUCAACGGCGGCAGCAGCAUCAACAUCCUCUACCGCGACACGAUGACCAAGCUCGACCUCAAGGACGAGGACCUGGAGCCGGCCCGGACAAUCUUCCACGACAUCGUUCCCGGCCUCUCCUGCUCUCCCAUUGGUCGGGUCCGGCUCGAUGUCCUAUUCGGCGACAACAGCCACUUCCGACGCGAACCGAUCUGGUUCGAGGUGGUGGACCUGUCCAGCGCAUAUCAUGCAUUGCUGGGUCGGCCCGCGCUCACCAAGUUCAUGGCGGUUCCCCACUACGCGUACCUGAAGAUGAAGAUGUCGGGUCCCAAGGGCCUCAUCACCGUCACCGGCGACUACCGCAAGUCCCUGGAGUGUGCCCGAGAUGGUGCCAAGUUGGCCGAGUCGCUGGUCAUUGCCGAGGAGCGGUGCCAGCUCGACCGGAUUGUCGCCCUGGCAGGCGAGGCCUCCGCAGCAUCGAUCCCGACCCCGGACCCGGCCGACGAGGCCGCCUUCAAGCCCUCCAAGGAGACCAAAAAGUGAAGCUCAACCCAGAAGACCCCAGCUGCAGCAAGUAUGUUAUCGUAGGCGCCCUCCUCGACAGCAAAUAGGAAGGUGAGCUCGUCGACUUCCUCCGUGAGAAUCGGGAUAUCUUCGCACGGACCCCCAAGGACAUGCCGGGUAUCCCGAGGAAGUACGCCGAGCACAAACUUCACGUCUGCAAGGACGCCAAGCCUGUCCAUCAACCCCCACGACAAUUUUCCAAAUAGAAGAGAAGAACCAUUGGUGAAGAGGUCGCCAAGCUUUUGGCGGCCGGCUUCAUAAUGGAAGUGUUUCACCCCGAGUGGCUGGCCAAUCCAGUCCUCGUCCUGAAGAAAAACAAGACCUGGCGCAUGUGUAUUGACUACACCAGCCUCAACAAGGCCUAUCCCAAGGAUCUGUUUGCUUUCCCACGGAUCGACCAAGUCAUCGACUCGACCGUCGGGUGCGAGCCCCUGUCCUUCCUGGACGCUUACUCCGGCUACCACCAGAUCAAGCUGGACCCGGCCGAUGCCCUGAAGACGUCCUUCAUCACGCCCUUUGGGGCGUAUUGCUACAUCACCAUGUCGUUCGGCUUGAAGAACGCCGGCGCCACCUUCCAACGCUGCAUGCAGAAGUGCCUACUGCCGCAACUCGGCCGCAAUAUCCACAUGUACGUGGACGACAUCGUGGUGAAGACCAAGCAGCACCUCAUGCUCCUCGAUGAUUUGAAGGAGACAUUCACCAACCUCCACGAAUACAAGGUCAAGCUUAACCUAGAAAAAUGCGUUUUCGGCGUCCCCACUGGAAAGCUACUCGGCUUCCUCGUCUGGGAACGUGGCACUGAGGCGAACCCGGAUAAGAUCAAGGCCAUCGAGCUCAUGCGCAGACCAGCUCGGCUGCGCGACGUCCAGAAGUUCACCGGGUGCUUGGCCUUGGUCAGCCGGUUUCUAAGCCGGCUGGGCGAGAGGGCGCUACCCCUGUACCAACUGAUGAAGAAGACAAGCCCGUUCAAAUGGAACGGCAAGGCAGACGAGGCCUUCCAAGACCUCAAGCGCAUGCUCUCCACCGCACCAGUCCUGGCCGCGCCGACCGGCAAGGAGCCGCUGUUGCUCUACAUUGUCGUGACCUCGCGGGUGGUGAGCACUGUGCUGGUGGUCGAGCGACCAGAGAAGGGCAAGAUCCAAGUCGUCCAGCAUCCAGUCUACUACCUGAGCGAGGUGCUCUCCAUAUCCAAGCAGAACUACCAGCACUACCAGAAGAUGUGUUACGGCGUGUACCUCACCGCCAAGAAGCUGAAGCAGUACUUACAAGAGCACGUCGUCACCGUCGUCAGCACGACGCCUAUCGGAGAAAUCAUCGGGUGCCGGGACGCCUCUGGCCGGGUCGCCAAGUGGGCGAUCCAGCUAGCCGUUCGCACCAUCCUCUACGAGCCCCGCACCACGAUCAAGUCUCAAGCCCUGGCCGACUUCCUCGUCGACUGGACCGAGACCCAGUACUUGCCGCCGCCUCCCGACUCGACGCAUUGGCGCAUGCACUUCGACGGGUCCAAGAUGCGACUCUGCUUGGGGGCCGGCAUCGUACUGUCAUCCCCGAAGGGCAACCGGCUCUGCUACGCGCUCCAGAUCCACUUUGCUGCCUCCAACAACGUCGCCGAAUAUGAAGCCCUUAUGCACGGCCUCUGGCUUACCAAGGAACUCGGCAUCCAGCGCAUUCCGUGCUACGGUGACUCGGACAUGGUGGUGCAGUAGUGCUCCGGCGAAUGGGACGCCCGCGACUCCAACAUGGCAAGCUACCGAUUACUCGUCCAGAAGAUGUCCGGAUCCUUCGAGGGCUGUGAGUUCCUCCAUGUCCCGCGCAUGGAGAACGAAGCAGCCGACACGCUCGCCAAGAUUACCUCAUCACGACAAGCCAUCCCGUCUGGCGUCUCCCUCGAGCACCUACGCAAGCCGUCCGUCAAGCCAUCGCCGGACUCCGAGUCCAUUCAUGUUCCAGACGACCCGGCCGCACCUCAAGCCGGCCCGGGGACUGCUGAACCCGGCCCGGGGGCUGCUCAGCUCAACCUGGCCACCGUCAACCCGGACCCGGCUGUCGCCAUCCCCGACCCGGGGCUGCUCAACCCGGCUCGGGGGCUGCCGGCUCGGAACCCACCCUGGUGGCCGUCUUCUGUUGGGGAUCGUUGCAGAAAUAAAAAAAAUCUACGCAUCACCAAGAUCAAUCUAUGGAGAGACUAGCAACGAUAGAGAGGGGAGUGCAUCUUCAUACCUUUGAAGAUCGCUAAGCAGAAGCGUUACAAGAACGCGGAUGAUGGAGUCGUACUCGUGGCGAUUCAAAUCGUGGAAGAUCCGAUCUAGCGCCGAACGGACGGCGCCUCCGCGUUCAACACACGUACAGCCCGCGGACGUCUCUUCCUUCUUGAUCCAGCAAGGGGAGAGGAGAAGUUGAGGGAGAACUCCGGCAGCACGACGGCGUGGUGGUGGAGCUUGCAGUUCUCCGGCAGGGCUUCGCCAAGCACCACUGAGGAGGAGGUGGAGUUGGAGAGGGGGAGGGCUGCGCCAGGGGCAAGCGUGAAGCUCCCAUGCGCCUCCCCACUAUAUAUAGGGGUGGAGGGGGCUGGUUUCUUGCCCUCCAAGUCCAUUGGGGCGUUGGCAAAGGUGGGAGGAAAGAAAUCCCAUCAUUUCCUUCCCCACCGAUUGUUAUCCCCCCUUUAUAGGGAUCUUGAUCUUAUCCUUUCGGGAUAUGAUCUUAUUCCUUCUGAGGGGGGAUCUUGGUGCGCCUUGACCAGGGGUGUGGGGCCUUGCCCUCACUACCCACGUUCAUGUGGGUACCUCCCAUGCAGGUGGGCCCCACUCCAGAACCUUCUAGAACCUUCCCGGUACAAUACCGAAAAAUCCCAAACAUUUUCCGGUGGCCAAAAUAGGACUUCCCAUAUAUAAAUCUUUACCUCCGGACCAUUCCGGAACACCUCGUGACGUCUGGGAUCUCAUCCGGGACUCCGAACAACAUUCGGUAACUGCACACUAAUUCCCAUAACAACUCUAACGUCACCGAACCUUAAGUGUGUAGACCCUACGGGUUCGGGAAUCAUGCAGACAUGACCGAGACAGCUCUCUGACCAAUAACCAACAGCAGGAUCUGGAUACCCAUGUUGGCUCCCACAUGUUCCAUGAUGAUCUCAUCGGAUGAACCACGAUGUCAAGGAUUCAAGCAAUCCCGUAUACAAUUCCCUUUGUCAAUCGGUACGUUACUUGCCCGAGAUUCGAUCGCCGGUAUCCCAAUACCUCGUUCAAUCUAGUUACCGGCAAGUCACUUUACUCAUUCCGUAAUGCAUGAUCCCGUGACUAACUAAUUAGUCACAUUGAGCUCAUUAUGAUGAUGCAUUACCAAGUGGGCCCAGAGAUACCUCUCAUUCAUCGGAGUGACAAAUCCCAGUCUCGAUUCGUGCCAACCCAAUAGACACUUUCAGAGAUACCUGUAGUGCACCUUUAUAGCCACCCAGUUAGGUUGUGACGUUUGGUACACCCAAAGCAUUCCUACGGUAUCCGGGAGUUACACAAUCUCAUGGUCUAAGGAAAUGAUACUUGACAUUAGAAAAGCUCUUAGCAAACGAACUACACGAUCUUGUGCUAUGCUUAGGAUUGGGUCUUGUCCAUCACAUCAUUCUCCUAAUGAUAUGAUCCCGUUAUCAAUGACAUCCAAUGUCCAUGGUCAGGAAACCAUAACCAUCUAUUGAUCAACGAGCUAGUCAACUAGAGGCUCACUAGGGACAUGUUGUGGUCUAUGUAUUCACACAUGUAUUACGGUUUCCAGUUAAUACAAUUAUAGCAUGAACAAUAGACAAUUAUCCUGAACAAGGAAAUAUAAUAAUAACCAUUUUAUUAUUUCCUCUAGGGCAUAUUUCCAACAGUCUCCCACUUGCACUAGAGUCAAUAAUCUAGUUCACAUCAUUAUGUGAUUGUAAUUAAUCCAACAGCCAUGGUGUUUGAUCAUAUCUCGCUUGUGAGAGAGGUUUAUUAGUCAACAGGUCUGAACCUUUCAGAUUCGUGUGUGCUUUACAAAUAUCAAUGUCAUCUUGUAGAUGCAGCUUCCACGCGCUACUUGGAGCUACUCCAAACAACUGCUCUACUAUACGAAUCUGGUUUACUACUCAGAGUCAUCCGGAUUAGUGUCAAAGUUUGCAUUGACGUAACCCUUUACGAAGAACUCUUUUACCACCUCCAUAAUCGAGAAAAUUCCUUAGUCAACUAGUUACUAAGGAUAAGUUUGACCACUGUCAUGUGAUCCAUUCCUGGAUCACACUUGUACCCCUUGACUGACUCAUGGCAAGGCACACUUCAGGUGCGGUACACAACAUAGCAUACUUUAGAGCCUACAUCUGAAGCAUAGGGGACGACCUUCGUCCUUUCUUUCUCUUCUGCCAUGGUCAGGUCUUGAGUCUUACUCAAUAGUCACACCUUAUGACAUAGCCAAGAACUCCUUCUUUGCCGAUCUAUUUUGAACUCCUUCAAAAUCUUGUCACGGUAUGUAUUCAUUCGAAAGUACUAUUAAGCGUUUUUUGAUCUAUCUUUAUAGAUCUUGAUGCUCAAUGUUCAAGUAGCUUAAUCCAGGUUUUCCAUUGAAUAACACUUUUCAAAUAACCCUAUAUAAUGUCCAGAAAUUCUACAUCAUUUCUGAUCAACAAUAUGUCAAUAACAUAUACUCAUCAGAAAUUCUAUAGUGCUCCCACUCACUUAUUUGGAAAUACAAGUUUCUCAUAAACAUUUCAUAAACCCAAAAUCUUUGAUCAUCUCAUCAAAGAGUAUAUGCUUACUCCAGUCCUUAGAAGGAUUGCUGGAGCUUUGCAUACUUGUUAGCAUCUUUCAGGAUUGAAAAAACCUUCUGGUUGUAUCACAUACAACCUUUCCUCAAGAAAAUUGUCGAGGAAACAAUGUUUUGACAUCCUAUCUGCAAGAUUUCAUAAAUAAUGCAGUAAUUGCUAAUAUAAUUCCAACAGACUCUUAGCAUUGCUACGAGUGAGAAAGUCUCGUUGUAGUCAACUCCUUGAACUUGUUGGAAAACAUCUUAACGACAAGUCGAGCUUUCUUAAUGGUGAUACUUACCAUCAUUGUCCGUCUUCCUUUUAAAAUCCGUCUGUACCCAACAGCCUUACGACCAUCAAGUAGUUCUUCCAAAGUCUACAUGUUGUUUUCAUACAUGGAUCCUCGGCCUCGAGCCAUUUUCGGAAUCUGGGCCCACCAUCGCUUCUCCAUAGCUCGUAGGUUCAUUGUUGUCUAGCAACAUGACCUCCAAGAUAGGAUUACCGUACCACUCUGAAGCAGUACAUGUCCUUGUCGUCCUACGAGGUUUCGUAGUGACUUGAUCUGAAGUUUCAUGAUCACUAUCAUCAACUUCCACUUCAAUUGGUGUAGGUGCCACAGGAACAACUUCCUGUGCCCUGCUACACACUGGUUGAAGUGAUGGUUCAAUAACCUUAUCAAGUCUCCACCAUCCUCCCACUCAAUUCUUUCGAGAGAAACUUUUCCUCGAGAAAGGACCCGUUUAUAGAAACAAUCAGUUUUGCUUCCAGAUCUGAAAUAGGAGGUAUAACCAACUGUUUUGGGUGUCCUAUGAAGAUGCAUUUAUCCACUUUGGGUUCGAGCUUAUCUGCCUGAAACCUUUUCACAUAAGCGUCGCAGCCCCAAACUUUCAAGAAACGACAACUUAGGUUUCUCUAAACCAUAGUUCAUAGGGUGUCAUCUCAAUGGAAUUACGUGGUUCCCUAUUUAAAGUGAGUGCGGUUGUCUCUAAUGCCUAACCCAUGAACGAUAGUGGCAAUUCGAUAACAGACAUCAUGGUAUGCCCCAUAUCCAAUGGGGUGUAUCUAUCAUGUUCGGACACACCAUCACACUAUGGUGUUCCAGGCGGUGUUAGUUGUGAAACAAUUUCCACAAUGUAUUAAUUGUGUACCAAACUCGCAACUCAGAUAUUCAUCUCUAUGAUCAUAUCAUAGACAUUUUAUCCUCUUGUCACGAAGAUCUUCAACUUCACUCUGAAACUACUUGAACCUUUCAAUAAUUCAGACUUGUGUUUCAUCAAGUAAAUAUACUCAACAUCUACUCAAAUCAUCUGUGAAGUAAGAACAUAACGAUAUCCACUGCGUGCCUCAGCACUCAUUGGACUGCACACAUCAAAAUGUAUUACUUCCAACAAGUUGCUUUCUUGUUCCAUCUCACUAAAAACGAGGCCUUUCAGUCAUAUUGCCCAUGUGGUAUUAUUUGCAUGUCUCAAGUGAUUCAAAAUCAAGUGAGUCCAAACGAUCCAUUUGUAUGGAGUUUCUUCAUGCAUAUAUACCAAUGGACAUGGUUCGCAUGUCUCAAUCUUUUCAAAAACGAGUGAGUCCAAAGAUCCAUCAACAUGGAGCUUCUUCAUGCGUUUUAUAUCAAUAUGACUCAAAUGGUAGUGCCACAAGUAUGUGGUACUAUCAUUACUAUCUUAUAUCUUUUGGCAUGAACAUGUGUAUCACUAUGAUCGAGAUUCAAUAAACCAUUCAUUUUAGGUGCAAGACCUUUGAAGGUAUUAUUCAAAUAAACAAAGUAACCAUUAUUCUCCUUAAAUGAAUAACCAUAUUGCGAUAAACAUAAUCCAAUCAUGUCUAUGCUCAACGCAAACACCAAAUAACAAUUAUUUAGGUUUAACACCAAUCUCGAUGGUAGAGGGAGCAUGCGAUGCUUGAUCACAUCAACCUUGGAAACACUUCCCACACAUAUCUUCAUCUCACCUUUAGCUAGUCUCCGUUUAUUCCGCAGCUUUUAUUUUGAGUUACUAACACUUAGCAACCGAACCGGUAUCUAAUACCCUGGUGCUACUAGGAGUACUAGUAAAGUACACAUUAAUAUAAUGUAUGUCCAAUAUACUUCUGUCGACCUUGCCAGCCUUCUCAUCUACCAAGUAUCUAGGGUAGUUCUGCUUCAGUGACCGUUCCCUCAUUCCAGAAGCACUUAGUCUCAGGUUUGGGUUCAACCUUGGGUUUCUUCACUAGAGCAGCAACUGAUUUGCCAUUUCAUGAAGUAUCCCUUCUUGCCCUUGCCCUUCUUGAAACUAGUGGUUUUACUAACCAUCAACAAUUGAUGCCCGUACUCAAUUUCUACUUUCACGGUGUCAAACAUCACGAAUUGCUCAAGGAUCAUCAUGUCUAUCCCUGACAUGUUAUAGUUCAUCACGAAGCUCUAAUAGCUUGGUGGCAGUGACUAUGGAGAACCAUCACUAUCUCAUCUGGAAGAUUAACUCCCACUCAAUUCAAGUGAUUGUAGAACUCUGACAAUCUGAGCACAUGCUCAAUGAUUGAGCUUUUCUCCCUUAGUUUGCAGGUUAAGAAACUCGUCAGAGGUCUCAUACCUCUUGACGUGGGCACUAGCCUGAAAUCCCAAUUUCAGCCCUUGGAACAUCCUCUAUGUUCCGCGACGUUUCAGAAAUCGUCUUCGGCGCCUCAAUUCUAAACUGUUUAACAUUACUGAACUAUCACAUAGUCAUCAAAACGUGUAUGUCAGAUGUUUGCAACAUCCACAUACGACGUUUGAGGUUCAGCACACCGAGCGGUGCAUUAAGGACAUAAGCCUUCUACGCAGCAAUGAGGACAAUCCUCAGUUUACAGACCCAUUCCGCAUAAUUGCUACUAUCAACUUUCAACUAAAUUUUCUCUAGGAACAUAUCUAAAACAGUAGAACUAAAGCGUAAGCUACGACAUAAUUUGCAAAGACCUUUUGACUAUGUUCAUGAUAAUUAAGUUCAUCUGAUUAUUUAAUGAACUCCCACUUAGAUAGACAUCCCUCUAGUCAUCUAAGUGAUACAUGAUCCGAGUCAACUAGGCUGUGUCCGAUCAUCACGUGAGACGGACUAGUCAUCAUCGGUGAACAUCUUCAUGUUGAUCAUAUCCACUAUACGACUCAUGUUCGACCUUUCGGUCUCUUGUGUUCCGAGGCCAUGUAUGUACAUGCUAGGCUCGUCAAGUCAACCUAAGUGUUUCCCGUGUGUAAAUCUGGCUUACACCCGUUGUAUGUGAACGUUAGAAUCUAUCACACCCGAUCAUCACGUGGUGCUUCGAAACAACGAACUUUCGCAAUGGUGCAUAGUUAGGGGGAACACUUUCUUGAAAUUAUUAUGAGGGAUCAUCUUAUUUACUACCGUCGUUCUAAGCAAAUAAGAUGCAUAAACAUGAUAAACAUCACAUGCAAUCAAAUAGUGACAUGAUAUGGCCAAUAUCAUUUUGCUCCUUUUGAUCUCCAUCUUCGAGGCUCCAUGAUCAUCAUCGUCACCGGCAUGACACCAUGAUCUCCAUCAUCAUGAUCUCCAUCAUCGUGUCUCCAUGAAGUUGUCUCGCCAACUAUUACUUCUACUACUAUGGCUAACGGUUUAGCAAUAAAGUAAAGUAAUUACAUGGCGUUAUUUAAUGACACGUAGGUCAUACAAUAAAUUAAGACAACUCCUAUGGCUCCUGCCGGUUGUCAUACUCAUCGACAUGCAAAUCGUGAUUCCUAUUACAAGAGCAUGACCAAUUUCAUACAUCACAUAGCAUUCAUCACAUUCUUUUGGCCAUAUCACAUCACAUAGCAUACCCUGCAGAAACAAGUUAGACGUCCUCUAAUUGUUGUUGCAUGUUUUACGUGGCUGCUAUGGGUUUCAAGCAAGAACGUUUCUUACCUACGCAAAAGCCACAACGGUGAUAUGCCAAUUGCUAUUUACCCUUCAUAAGGACCCUUUUCAUCGAAUCUGAUCCGACUAAAGUGGGAGAGACUGGCACCCGUUAGCCACCUUAUGCAACAAGUGCAUGUCAGUCGGUGGAACCUGUCUCACGUAAGUGUACGUGUAAGGUCGGUCCAGGCCGCUUCAUCCCACAAUACCGUCGAAAAAAGAUAGGACUAGUAACGGUAAGCAUAUUGAACAAAAUGAACGCCCACAACAACUUGUGUUCUACUCGUGCAUAGAAUCUACACAAUAGACCUAGCUCAUGAUGCCACUGUUGGGGAUCGUUGCAGAAACUAAAAAAAAAUCUACGCAUCACCAAGAUCAAUCUAUGGAGAGACUAGCAAUGAUAGAGAGGGGAGUGCAUCUUCAUACCUUUGAAGAUCGCUAAGCACAAGCAUUACAAGAACGCGGAUGAUGGAGUCAUACUCGUGGCGAUUCAAAUCGCGGAAGAUGCAAUCUAGCACCGAACGGACGGCGGCUCCGCGUUCAACACACGUACAGCCAGGGACGUCUCCUCCUUCUCGAUCCAGCAAGGGGAGAGGAGAAGUUGAGGGAGAACUCCGGCAGCACGACGGCGUGGUGGUGGAGCUUGCAGUUCUCCGGCAGGGCUUCGCCAAGCACUACUGAGGAGGAGGUGGAGUUGGAGAGGGGAGGGCUGCGCCAGGGGAAAGGGUGAAGCUCCCAUGCACCUCCCCACUAUAUAUAGGGGUGGAGGGGGCUGGUUUCUUGCCCUCCAAGUCCAUUGGGGCGUUGGCAAAGGUGGGAGGAAAGAAAUCCCAUCAUUUCCUUCCCCACCGAUUGUUAUCCCCCCUUUCUAGGGAUCUUGAUCUUAUCCUUUCGGGAUAUGAUCUUAUUCCUUCUGAGGGGGGAUCUUGGUGCGCCUUGACCAGGGGUGUGGGGCCUUGCCCCCACUAUCCACGUUCAUGUGGGUCCCCCCAUGCAGGUGGGACCCACUCUAGAACCUUCUAGAACCUUCUCGGUACAAUACCGAAAAAUCCCGAACAUUUUCCGAUGGCAAAAAUAGGACUUCCCAUAUAUAGAUCUUUACCUCCGAACCAUUCCGGAACUCCUCGUGACGUCUGGGAUCUUAUCCGGGACUCCAAACAACAUUCGGUAACUGCAUACUAAUUCCCAUAACAACUCUAGCGUCACCGAACCUUAAGUGUGUAGACCCUACGGGUUCGGGAAUCAUGCAGACAUGACCGAGACAGCUCUCUGGCCAAUAACCAACAGCGGGAUCUGGAUACCCAUGUUGGCUCCCACAUGUUCCAUGAUGAUCUCAUCGGAUGAACCACGAUGUCAAGGAUUCAAGCAAUCCCGUAUACAAUUCCCUUUGUCAAUCGGUAUGUUACUUGCCCGAGAUUCGAUCGCCGGUAUCCCAAUACCUCGUUCAAUAUCGUUACCGGCAAGUCACUUUACUCGUUCCAUAAUGCAUGAUCUCGUGACUAACUACUUAGUCACAUUGAGCUCAUUAUGAUGAUGCAUUACCGAGUGGGCCCAGAGAUACCUCUCCGUCAUCGGAGCGACAAAUCCCAGUCUCGAUUCGUGCCAACCCAACAGACACUUUCAGAGAUACCUGUAGUGCACCUUUAUAGCCACCCAGUUACGUUGUGACGUUUGGUACACCCAAAGCAUUCCUACGGUAUCCGGGAGUUACACAAUCUCAUGGUCUAAGGAAAUGAUACUUGACAUUAGAAAAUCUCUUAGCAAACGAACUACACGAUCUUGUGCUAUGCUUAGGAUUGGGUCUUGUCCAUCACAUCAUUCUCCUAAUGAUGUGAUCCCGUAUCAAUGACAUCCAAUGUCCAUGGUCAGGAAACCAUAACCAUCUAUUGAUCAACGAGCUAGUCAACUAGAGGCUCACUAGGGACAUGUUGUGGUCUAUGUAUUCACACAUGUAUUACGGUUUCCAGUUAAUACAAUUAUAGCAUGAACAAUAGACAAUUAUCAUGAAUAAGGAAAUAUAAUAAUAACCAUUUUAUUAUUGCCUCUAGGGCAUAUUUCUGACAUCUUCGCCAUGGUUACAGCUCCAUCUUGGGCCCUCCCAAUAUCAGAAUUUCUGGAGAACGGGGUUCUCCCCAUGGACAAGACCGAAGCUCGACAGGUGCAGCGCCGGGCGUCCGCCUACAGCAUCAUCAACAACGAGCUCGUCAAGCGCAGCUCCACCGGUGUUUUCCAGUGUUGCGUCGAGCAGGAACAUGGCAUCGACAUCCUCCUCGACAUCCACCAGGGCGAGUGUGGGCACCACGCCGCAUCGAGAUCCCUGGUGGUCAAGGUGUUCCACCACGGUUUCUACUGGCCCAUGGCCCUCGAAGACGCCGAGUCGCUCGUUCUCAAGUGUGAAGGGUGCCAGCGCUUCAGCAAACGCAGCCACCAGCCGGCGUCAGCACUCCGCACCAUACUGAUCGCCUGGCCCUUCGUGGUCUGGGGACUCGACAUGGUGGGACCCUUCAAAACCGCUCGAGGCGGCAUGACGCACCUGCAUGUGGCAGUGGACAAAUUCACCAAGUGGAUCGAGGCAAGACCAAUCAAGAAACUGGACGGGCCAACAGUCGUCCGGUUCAUCAAGGACAUAGCGGUACGCUACGGCAUGCCAAACAACAUCAUCACCGACAAUGGCACCAACUUUGCCAAGGGUGCGCUCAAGCAAUACUUCUCUAUCUCUGGCAUCCGCCUCGACCUGGCCUCUGUUGCGCAUCUGCAGUCCAACAGGCAGGUCGAGCGGGCCAACGGACUCAUCCUGUCUGGCAUCAAGCCGCGACUCGUUGAGCCACUCAUCCGCUCACUCGGCAGCUGGCUCAACGAGUUGCCGGCCGUUCUCUGGAGUCUUCGCACCAUGCAGAAUCGGUCGACCGGGUUCACCCCGUUCUUCCUCGUCUACGGAGCCGAAGCCAUCAUCCCGACUGACGUCGAUUUCGACUCGCCGCGCAUCGCGAUGUACACCGAAGCCGAAGCCAGAGAAGCCCGCGAAGAUGGCGUCGACCUACUCAAAGAAGCACGCCUCGUGGCGCUCAGUCGCUCGGCCAUCUACCAGCAAGGCCUGAGGCACUACCACAUCAAGAAGAUCAAGCCCCUCGCAUUCCGCGAGGGCAACCUCGUCCUCCGACUCAUCCAAGGCAGGCAGGCCAGCACAAGCUGUCCCCUCCAUGGGAGGGCUCAUUCAUCAUGAGCAGGGCCUUACGCGAUCGCAACGCCUACUACCUCAUCGAUGCACGCAAGUCAAAGAAGCGCAAGAAGGACACCGCUGGUGAAGAAACGACCCGGCCAUGGAACGCGGAACUCCUCCGCCCAUUUUACUGUUAGCCGCGCAAGUGUAUGUAUCGUCGCCAUUUGUAAAUGCAUGAAACUAUGGGGUCCCCAAACAAGACUCGGGGGUUGCCUUUUGUCGACCAAUUUAUUGUGUCCCUAUUUUUCUGCAUCACUAUACCACUGAACCCGGCCACCGGACCGACUCGCUCGACCCGGAGGCUCGGGGGCUGGCCGGCUCGGUCGCCACCCCGCCGCCUUACUUGGUGAUUCCUGAGAAAGUUAGGAUGCCGCGGUCCCCCACUUCGCCCUAAAGCCACAGAUCUAGCUUUGGCUGUCGGCUGGCAAGCACAAUGGGCCAAAGCUCCUUUACGCUUCAUACACUAAGUCAAAGGCUGUCUGGUUGAUCAACCCGGCCCGCCAUUCAUCAAAUGAACAACCGCACAACCGGCUGCUCGCCAACCGGCUUCGCCGGAUUGCCGCCAGCCGGCCCAGUGGGUGUUUCGCUCGCGCUCAACGUUUCAAAGGACCCAAGUCUUGCACGCUCCUUUCGAAGAAUCGAACUCCUUGUCACAGACCGGAGCCUCGGCUGUCUGACUCGCGGGGGGGGGGGAGGUUUGAGAAAGGAAAAGCGCAUGAAGUCAGUCUGAAAAACGGAAGGCAAAAAGCAAAAGCACUCACGACAUGUACACAAACAUUUAACAAAAGGCCCACGGCCCGAGUUCAUUACACCCUANNNNNNNNNNNNNNNNNNNNNNNNNNNNNNNNNNNNNNNNNNNNNNNNNNNNNNNNNNNNNNNNNNNNNNNNNNNNNNNNNNNNNNNNNNNNNNNNNNNNNNNNNNNNNNNNNNNNNNNNNNNNNNNNNNNNNNNNNNNNNNNNNNNNNNNNNNNNNNNNNNNNNNNNNNNNNNNNNNNNNNNNNNNNNNNNNNNNNNNNNNNNNNNNNNNNNNNNNNNNNNNNNNNNNNNNNNNNNNNNNNNNNNNNNNNNNNNNNNNNNNNNNNNNNNNNNNNNNNNNNNNNNNNNNNNNNNNNNNNNNNNNNNNNNNNNNNNNNNNNNNNNNNNNNNNNNNNNNNNNNNNNNNNNNNNNNNNNNNNNNNNNNNNNNNNNNNNNNNNNNNNNNNNNNNNNNNNNNNNNNNNNNNNNNNNNNNNNNNNNNNNNNNNNNNNNNNNNNNNNNNNNNNNNNNNNNNNNNNNNNNNNNNNNNNNNNNNNNNNNNNNNNNNNNNNNNNNNNNNNNNNNNNNNNNNNNNNNNNNNNNNNNNNNNNNNNNNNNNNNNNNNNNNNNNNNNNNNNNNNNNNNNNNNNNNNNNNNNNNNNNNNNNNNNNNNNNNNNNNCAUUCAUCAAAUGAACAACCGCACAACCGGCUGCUCGCCAACCGGCUUCGCCGGAUUGCCGCCAGCCGGCCCAGUGGGUGUUUCGCUCGCGCUCAACGUUUCAAAGGACCCAAGUCUUGCACGCUCCUUUCGAAGAAUCGAACUCCUUGUCACAGACCGGAGCCUCGGCUGUCUGACUCGCGGGGGGGGGGAGGUUUGAGAAAGGAAAAGCGCAUGAAGUCAGUCUGAAAAACGGAAGGCAAAAAGCAAAAGCACUCACGACAUGUACACAAACAUUUAACAAAAGGCCCACGGCCCGAGUUCAUUACACCCUAAAAAAACAGUGGGCGGGUGGACCUGCUACUUAACAAAUUUUGCAAAGUAUCUCAGGCAUCUCCAGCACCGCAUCGUGAAGUCGAGGGCCCUCCCCUGGCAGCCUUCGGGUCCGGCGAGUCGCCGGUGUCCUCCUCGGCAUCCGCGUCACCAUAGACGCCCGUCUCCUCCGAGCUCCCCUCCGGAUCAUGGAGAAGCAAGCCGUAGUCGUCGCCAUCCACGGCCCUGCCGUCUUCCAUUCGCUCCGGAUGGAACUCAUCGUGGAAGGCGAACUCGGCGAUGUAGCUGGCCCGAGAGGCGAUCCGGACGGCUUGCUCCUGCAGCAACUGCUCCGAGCCGGCCUGCUGGCCCAUCAACGCGUCCAGCUGAACAUCCGGAUGCCAAGAUAGCGCAAACCGGAGCGCCAUCUCGGCACCGGCACGAGCGGCGGAGACACGCCACUCGCCAAGCCGGUCCGGGCCCGUCUCCAACCAGCACGCCAGGCGCGUGAAGGUCCAACGCCGCCUCCUCCUGGGUCUAAGGCCCGAAGACAGCAGCGCCCCCGCUCCAUGCCGGCUGCGCGCGGCAACUCGACACCCUCCCUGCCGGGGCACCAAGGCGUGCCCACCGCUGGCCGCUUGCGACGCGGCCAGCACCUCCUUCGACGCCCCUCCCGGCGCCGACGAUGACCCGGACGCCGGGACGCCCUGCGUCACCACCACCGGCGCAGCUGCCGGGGUGGCCUCCGGCACCGCCGCCUGCAGUGCCUCCUCCAUAGCCGGCGGCGCCUCUUCCAAGAUGACGCCACCUCCACCACCAUCAGCCCGCGCGCGCUCGACCACGUCGGCCCGCGGCGGGGUAUCGCCCCCCACCUCCACCACCUGCUAGUCGAGGAUCACCACCUCAGCCCGGCCUCCAUGGCCGCGCUCCCUCACCGAUGACGGCUCAAAGACCGUCGCCGCCACCACCGUGCCCUCCGGCAUCUCGCGCCAGGCCGGCUCGCGCCUAUGCCGCCGCCGCAUCGAUCCAAGCCUGGACCGACGCCGCCUCCAGCUCCGCCUCGUCCCGGUUCCUGUCCUGCCAGGCCAAGGCUUUGGCGUCGUUCAGGUCCAGGCCAAGGUUCGAGUCGGCCCGUACCUCCACCUCGACCUGGUUGGCGAGGUCGGACCGGCUCCUGCGGAACGCUACCCCUUCGGCAGUUGUGGCUUCUGCUGCCGCCCUCGCCAGCGCGAUUGGCGACCUGAAGAAGAAGACAGAAUGAGCAAAAAAGAAACAAGACUAGCUCAAAAAAUCCGGGCGCAAACAAGAAAUGAAGGUUACCCUGUCAAGACCGGGACCGGGGUUGGCCUCCUGUGCCCGCCGCCGCGCUUCUUCUUGGCCGGCCUCUCGGCCCCUGCCGGGUCCGCUGUACGCUUCGGGGCCCGGGGUCGCGGUGCGACACUGUCUUUCCCAUACAGGCGGCUCGGCGCUGCCCCAUGCGAGGACCCGGCUCCGCCUGCAUCGCCGUCUCCCCCGCCCAGUGCCACUACACCAACAGCCGGCGUCAGCAUCGCCCACGCCGCGCCAUGAUCAGCAUUUCAAGACACAUGAACAGAGAAAACAUAUAGAACUUACCCGCGCGACGCCUAGCGCCGGCGUCGGACUCGGCCACCUCCUCCUCGCCAGGGGCCGCGGGCUCCUCUGGCGCCACCGACACCACCUGCGAGGAGCCUGGGCGUAAGGAUGCCGAAUCACGUUCAGAAGUAUCACCCGCGUCGCGUCGGGACGAAGGAGAAGGUGCGCCGCAGCAAAGUAAGAAGACCAAACACUCACCUGCGGCACCGGGUUUGACUCGCUGUACGGCGCCUUGCCGAACUGUCAGUCCUCUCCAAGGUUGGCCUUGGAGAUGUCGUUCACGCCGCGCGCAAUCUGCUCCGCGGACAGCCACGUCGACCCCAUGCUGUUGGGGUCCUGAAGGCCGAUCAUUUCUCCAAUGAGGCAGGAGCGCCUCUGGAGCGGAAGGACCCGGCGCAUGAUGAACGCGACAAGGAGGUUGGUGCCAGUGAGCCCCUCCUACGUCCUCAUCACCGUCACCCGCUCGCACAGGUUGACGAUCUCCUGCGACGGGCGCCUGAGCGAGUAGCCCCAGUUCGUCUUCGCCCGCGGCGGCGCGAUGGCGAAGAGCGGAAGGUUGAUGUGGUCCACACCAAGGUUGCAGACGUAGAAGAAGGAGUUCUGCCACUUCUUGGCAGAAUCCUCCAGCGGGAUCUUGGGGACAUCCGCCCCCGACCGCUUCGAGAUGAUGGCGGCGCCGUAGUCGGUGAACUCCCCGGCCGAUGGGCCCUGCUGCUUCAAGGAGAAGAAGCGUGCCAAGAGGUUGAUCGUGGGCUCGACCCCCAGGUACCCCUUGUAGAGGGUGACGAAGCCGGAGAGCUGGACGAUGGUGCCGGCGCCAAGAUGAUGCGGCUGGAGCCCGAAGAACUCCAGGAACGCGCGGAAGAAGGUGCUCGCCGGCAGCCUGAACCUGGGCUCGAAGUGUGUGAGGAAGACCACGCGCUCCUGCUCCUCGGGCAGAGGCCUCUGCUCGCCGUGUGGCAGGCGAACGCCGACGUCCAUCUCCCGCGGCAAGCGCUGCGACGCCCGAAGCUGGAUGAUGUCCUCGGUGGUGAUGUUCGAGCCCAUCCAGGAGCCUGACGACAGCGCCAUGGACGAAAGAAGAAGGAAGCAGAUGGACGAUGGAGGAAGUUCUGCUUGGAGCAGCGGGCGCCGCAGUGCGUCGGUUGCAAAGAGCGGAGCGAGAGCAAAGGGACAGGAGGGUGCGAGCGAGAAUAAUGUCUGCCGCCCCCUGCCCCCCAAUUUAUAACCCUCGGUUCAAACGUGGGGGAGUGGGAUCGUCUGCACGCGCCCGUUCCACUACCCCGCAAUAAGUGCGCACGUACACGUGCAGUAACUUUCCGGGGAAGUGCAACCGACCCCCGGAAGCCGCAAUAAAUCCGCGUGCGUGGGCCAAGGGCACGCGGCGGUGGGUCCCAUCCCGUCGCCCAGUCCCGUCACGCGUGUGGCCUGUCAGGCCCCUCCGGCUUCCGGCCACCACGUGGCGCCCGCGCAAAGCCUGAGGGAUUGCCCCAAGAUUUGACGGACUACUCGGUUCCCGCCACGGCCGGGAUGCCGCAAUCCGGUUUCCGAGAAAAACCGGCACAUAAUGGGUGUUGCCGGACCCGGCGCUUGCAGAAUCCCCCUUGCUUAAGGGGAAAACUGUGAAGGCACACUCAUCCGAAGACGGCGGACCUUCACAGCUUCGGGGACUACUGUCGGGGGGAUGAACCACGGGCAGGCAACGGAACCCGGAUCCUCUUCAAAAAUAGUGGGGCCCACAUCACCCCUCAAACCGGCACGCGCCCGGCCGGGUCGCUCGACCCGGCAAGGCCCGCAACCGGCCAAACUCUCCGACCCGGCAAGGUACGUCGACCCGGCCUCAGCAACUGGCGCAAGGCAGCCGAACCCGGUACGACCAAGGCUUCCCCAACAAGCCGACCCCACCCGUGGCGUACACCGCAAUCCAGCCACGGGUCAAGCUCCCGUCCCAUCCAGGCCGUACGAUGGGACGAGACCUCAAUCACUGAUGACCAAGACAACAGUGCUUCCACCCAUGCCUAUGGUCAGCCGGAGCGUGGCAACAGUGCCCCUCACCUACCCGCUGGCCGGGGCUGGCGUGGCAACAGUGCUCCCACCCUCACCGCUGACGGCAGCAAGCGGCAACCUGACGGAGAUCACUGUACGCGACUCGACUCGGCCAGGCCCUGACGAUCGACAAGACGGCGCACAGUCCCCCUAGACAUGCGGGGCCCACACCUAGGGGAACCUGGCGAACCACAAGCCCUCAGCGGGACCCAUCCCGGCAUCCCGGACACUGACAAUACAGACCCAUCGACUCGACGUAUUACCAUUGUAACCCUGGGGGGUUUGAUCUAUAAAAUCCCCCAGGAACCCACGCCUACUGGGGCAUGUACAAGGUAGCAUGUGAGAAACAGAUACAAGGGACAAGCAAGCAAGCAUAGGACUAGCCACCAAACCGCAACACCGGAGAGAAGGAGCAGCCCAAGCCUUGGCCAGCUUCCUUCCUCCUCCAUACAGCUCCAGGAGCAACAUUGUACUAUCGAUCAUCCAACUACACUCGGCAGGACUAGGGGUAUUAUCUCUCCGGAGAGCCACGAACCUGGGUAUGUCUAGCGUCCCGCGCCCGCUCAUGCCAACCUCGCCUCUGGAGACCACCAGCGCCCUCGAGUCUCCUCCUCUCUUUAGCCAUCCCUUGGCAUCUGCCGUGCGCCCACCACGACACUUAUAAUCCAAUAAUGCAUGUUGCAUGAUCAAGGAUUCUCAUAGGUAGAUCGGACGAAUGCUAGUUGAUCUAGAUAGUAAAUCUAACAUCUAUAACAACUCUAAUGAUGUGAAAGCAUGCAUGUUGAGAUAAUUAAAAGUAGCGGGAUCACUCUUUUAGAUAGGUUAUGAUCCAAAUAAAACACAUCAGUUUGUAUUGAAUUCGACAAUUGUUAGAACACUAUACUUUUUGUUCAGGGAUUGCCUACUUCCGCUUGGUCAAUAUGCAUGUGACAUUUUCUAUCUGCCCACGACACCACUCACAAAAUUAGAAUCGCCUUUUCUAUUUCUAUUGCUUCAUAUAGGAAUGUUAAGACGUCACCUACUCCAUGAUUUGGACACUACACGAUUAAAUGCAUGAAGCAUGUUUUGCGGCACACACCAAAAUAAAAGAUUAGGAUUGCUUUUACAGAAAUAAAGAAUAAACGCCAAUGGAUGUCUCACAACCCUCUUGAGGGCGUCGUGGUCUCCCUCCCUGUUCUAGGGUUCAAGUUGAAAACCCAAGUUCAUUCCUUUGGACGCGACAAGGACGAUGCUCUACGUCACUACCCUAUUGGGUGCGUUGAGGUGGAACUCUGGUACCUUUCGUUUGCGGUGGAAGGUCGUCUUAGGGCAUGCUUGGAUUGUACCUCGAAGUAUCUUGGGUUCCAAAGUGGGAUGGUCCAGUUGGUCUCUUAUCGGUUCCAUGCGACUGCGUCGGCAUCGCUAUUGGCCUGUACUACUCCUCGGUCCGGAGUGAGAGGGCAGGUGUGGCCCUCUCUGACGACAUUUGACGAGGGCUUUGUUGCACGGUCCAAUGGUUCCUUUUGAAGACGUGAGCUCAUACGGUAUCGCCACCAGAGGCGAUUUGCUGGAGUCUGCCUACUCAUGUACUCUUUCUCGCUGGCGCAACCAUACGCUUGUAGUGUGUCUCGUGUGUGUUGUCUAUGUUAUAUCUUGGACCCUGAUAAGUGCUAUACCUAUGCCACGAACACAUGACAACUUCAAGCAUUUUUAUGGCAAUUUUAGUGACGUCAGGAUGACAACUUUAAUUGUCAGGCAUGAGAACUUCUUUUCGGAUGGCAAGUUUCAAUUUUUUUUUCUUUUCGGAUGGCAAUUUUAGUUCAAAAAACGUCAGGGCCGGAGUGCUUCGUGUCACUUGUGUGGCACUCAUCAUUUGGAUACAUCUUUUGUUGCCAGCUCUUUCUUUAAUAUGUUUUUCAUAAAAGGAUUUCCUUGUGUAUUGUUCAUCAGUCCGGGUUUUAUACAUUAAUUUUUUUUGAGAAUGGGUUUUAUACAUUAAUAAUGCGGAGUCGAUGUCUAUUUUUUGAAAUAAAGAAAACGGCCCAAAGGCCUGAAACCACCAAUGAACAGAGAUGGGAAAACAUCAAAUAAAAAGGUUGAGAAAAGAAUGUUUGAGUUCAGGUCCCCAACCAAAUCGAGUGAGGAUGAGUUCUUGGACUCUUUUUUGUAGAACAUAUAUUACGAUGGACUCUUUACCGGGCGUAUCCCUACCAAACAAAUCACGUUUAACACGAGCAAUACGUAGUUACGUGCUGUUCCCAAACAUACUCCUAUUUAUUCUUCGCCUUGAGUUGCUCGACAAAAUCGGCGAUCAUCAUGCUACCGGCGAAGAAACGAGCGGGGCACCACCGCAGUCCGUGGUCCGACCUCCCGCACGAUCUGCUUACAACCAUCCUCGUCCGUCUCACCGCAACCUCCCCGGCCCUUCGCGACCGCGCCCGCUUCGGCGGCGUGUGCCAGACAUGGCGUGCCGCCGAGCGCGCCCACCCGCGCCCUCCUGUGCCAUGGCUCGUCGCCCCUGGGCACUACGUCAGCCUCCACGACGCCGCCAUCUACCGCGUCCCGCUGCCCGAGGACGCCGCCGCUGCCACCUGUCGAGGUUCCUUCGGCGACUGGCUCGCCCUCGUGCCGCCGGUGUCAGGGCGCCCCUUCUUGCUCAACGCUUUCACAAAGGAGCGAAUCAGGCUGCCGCGGUGGACGAAAGAGCCGAUGGUUAAGUUUGUCCUGUCGUCCAAGCCGGAUGCCAAGGCUUGCACUGUGGCUGCCAUUGUUGAGAUUGGAGACGGCGCCUACAGGAUGAGUUGUAAGGUCGUUAUCUGCCACCUGAGGCGGGGACGACAACAAGGGCGCUCCUGGGAGAUCCUGACUAAGGCGUUCAAGCUCCAAGACAUCACCUUCUUCGAGGGGAAACUCCAUGCCCUUGACACAGAAGCCUGCCUCCAUGUCUUCCAGGAAGAAGACCUACAACAGCGCCCUCAUCAGCGGUGGAGCAUGCCACCUGCGAAGCAGCAAUUCUACGACGUCAAGCUGCACCUGGUUGUCCUCCAUGGGAGGCUGCACAUGGUCGGCAGGGGCUUAGGGACGACCCGGUGGACGACAUUCACCAACAAUAUAGGGGUCUUCGCGCUCGUCGGCGAGAUGACGAAGCCACCGGUGCCAGUCAAGGACUUUGACGGGCACGCGAUCUUUGUCGGCGACGCCUGCUGCGACGCUUUCGUAGUUGAGGCAGCUGCUUUAGGCCGCAUGAUAAGAGAGAACCAGAUUUGUUUCGUCGACGACGAGAAGAACAUGAUGUCGCUGGCCACCACCGGCCGCCGGCCUUUCCGGCUGCUGCAAUCCUACGACGUGCGCAACGGCUGCCUCCGCGCAUACGGACCCAGCACCGCCGCGGUGGGGACCUGGCGGUGCGUCACGGCACAGCGUUUCCCGCAGAGCAGCGCCAUUGGACCACCGCUGCGGGCCUCUCUGUCGAAGGCGGAGCUGCUGCUGUGGAACGUGGCCAACUGCCUGGGAGCAUGGGACCGGCCCUUAUAUACAACGCGCCAUCAGGACGAUGGCGCAGGCGUCGCCGUGACAGUGGAGAUCGAGGUGCCCAAGACAUCCAGAAUAAUGGAAGGGGAAGAGCCCCUCUUUGAGUGGAGUUUCACGCAGCAGCGGGGGUCAGCCAAGAAAGCGAAGCAGGCGGCGGCGCACGAGGCCGUCACGUUCCUGCGGAGUCGGUUUCGCAGCAUCCUAGACGACAGCCCCUGGAGCUCCGUCCCUCACUACCAUAGCCACGUCGACGAGGAGGAAGAAGCAGUCCAAGAAGACGACGCCGAAGGCGGCAGUUUGUUUGGGUAUACACAUUGGUACGGUGACAUUAACUACUAGCUAAGGUGCUCUGCUUUGGCCUUCCGUUGAGCGUCACUUGCUUUGCUCUGCAGAAACGUGUUGGGCGUGUGCAAAACAUGCGCUUGAUUGGAGAGAUCAAGAACUCGUGUUUAUGCAAUGUUAUAAAAGAGUCGGCUUGGUUUUUAAUAGGACUCCAUAGCUAUAUAUAAACAUGUCAUGCCAGUAAAAGUUUGCAUUAGUUGAGUGUAUCUAAGUCACAUGUAAAAGUUGACGACAUAGUCCGGUCCUUUCAUCACACUUAACUUCACUCCCCUUCGCCACCCGAGCUCACCUUUGGCGGUUUCCGACAUUCUUCGCCAUGGCAGGCAAUGGAUCGGACUCCGACCAGUCCGGAUCCGUUGAUUGGGAUGUCAUCCCAUAUGGGUUGGAGGAGGCAAUGUCAAUCCGCAUUGCACUCCGCCGCUCCCGGGAGGACAGCGCCCGACCGACAGACGGAUCCGUCCGCCGCGACGCCACAGCGUCGGCUCAUCGGGCGCUUGGGUCCUCUGGUGCUGGAUCCUCGCAGUACCGGCCGGAACACCUGUCCUUCCCCAUCAUCGGUCGGGCAGAGUAUGAGUGCCACCGGGAACGGGCGGCCAUACUGCGUCUUUGACCGGUACAUCCGCGAGAAGGACGGGAAGAGCGCCGGGAAGAGUAAGGGCAACCGUGGAUGAAUUCCACCGUAGCCAAACAUGCCUAAUUUUGGUAGCCCGAUGACAUGUUUAGUGUAGUGUGAUGGAGUAACCGAACGAUGUGUGUACGUCAACGUAGUUGCAUGAGUUUUUAUGGAUUUGAGAUAUGGUAACUUAGGUGUCCGGAUGUGGAUUAUAUAUUUUGAGAAGUGUCCGAUCAAUGUCCGCGGAUUUUUGAGUGGCCGGAUUUGCCAAGUCCGCCUAUAGAUGCUACAAUGUUUUUGGCUUCGGCUAAGUUUCGGUUAGAGAAGUUGUCUAACCUGUUAUCGAUGAUCAGUUAGAUGCUCUUACCCUGCAUUCAAUCUUUUUUGAUCAAUUAUAAGUGACAUAUACUUUAGGAAAAACUGACGCAUUAGUAGCAUUUAUAAUAACGAGAAUGCUAAAUUCCUGCCGACUGGCAGUUUGCAUCAGAUCCGAACGAUCCGGAUCUCGUUCAUUCGGAAUCGAAUGGCAGUUAUCGAAGCGAGAAAAAGAAAGGGGCGUGGACGAGAAUCGAACCCCCGACGUCCUUGUAGGCACGCCACCGAACUAACCAUCUCACCCAAACUUCGUAGUUGUUAAAAUUGCGAACACCCUGGAUUUAAUGCAUAGUGGUCUUUUUUUGAGAUUAAAAAUCUGAAGAAGUUGCUAAUUUGAUGGCGCAUUUAGCGGAAAGACUUCCUGAAACGUUGAUGUCCGUGAUUUUCUCUCUGGAUUAGAUCCAUCAUGAUUUUUUCUGUGUGCUAGAUCUAUUGAUAGACCCUAUUUACAGGAAUUUUUUAGUCAAGAAAAUUGAUUCUCAAUAUAGGAUUCGAACCCACAGCAAGCAGCUUACGUGAAACACUUACCACUAGUAGAAAAGGGGCCAAUGGUCCAGGCCGGUCCAGCCCAUUAGUCCCGGUUUAACCCAGAACAGGGACCAAUGAUGGCAUUGGACCCGGUUCGUGAGCCCCGGGGGCCGGCCGGGCCACGUGGGCCAUUGGUCCCGGUUGGAGGGACGAACCGGGACCAAUGGUUCUCGCUCCUGGCCCACCAUCAUUGGUCCCGGUUGGUGGCAUGAACCGGGACCAAAGGCUGCCCUUUAGUCCCGGUUCAUGCCACCAACCGGGACGAAACGGUUGGUCCUUGUUGCGGUCACAGUUUAGUCCCACCUCGCCAACUGAAGGGGAAUUAGACCGGUUUAUUUUCUUUUUUGCUAUAUUUAUUUUUUUCUUUUUAUUUCUGAGUUGUAAUAAUUCAUUAAAAAUANNNNNNNNNNNNNNNNNNNNNNNNNNNNNNNNNNNNNNNNNNNNNNNNNNNNNNNNNNNNNNNNNNNNNNNNNNNNNNNNNNNNNNNNNNNNNNNNNNNNNNNNNNNNNNNNNNNNNNNNNNNNNNNNNNNNNNNNNNNNNNNNNNNNNNNNNNNNNNNNNNNNNNNNNNNNNNNNNNNNNNNNNNNNNNNNNNNNNNNNNNNNNNNNNNNNNNNNNNNNNNNNNNNNNNNNNNNNNNNNNNNNNNNNNNNNNNNNNNNNNNNNNNNNNNNNNNNNNNNNNNNNNNNNNNNNNNNNNNNNNNNNNNNNNNNNNNNNNNNNNNNNNNNNNNNNNNNNNNNNNNNNNNNNNNNNNNNNNNNNNNNNNNNNNNNNNNNNNNNNNNNNNNNNNNNNNNNNNNNNNNNNNNNNNNNNNNNNNNNNNNNNNNNNNNNNNNNNNNNNNNNNNNNNNNNNNNNNNNNNNNNNNNNNNNNNNNNNNNNNNNNNNNNNNNNNNNNNNNNNNNNNNNNNNNNNNNNNNNNNNNNNNNNNNNNNNNNNNNNNNNNNNNNNNNNNNNNNNNNNNNNNNNNNNNNNNNNNNNNNNNNNNNNNNNNNNNNNNNNNNNNNNNNNNNNNNNNNNNNNNNNNNNNNNNNNNNNNNNNNNNNNNNNNNNNNNNNNNNNNNNNNNNNNNNNNNNNNNNNNNNNNNNNNNNNNNNNNNNNNNNNNNNNNNNNNNNNNNNNNNNNNNNNNNNNNNNNNNNNNNNNNNNNNNNNNNNNNNNNNNNNNNNNNNNNNNNNNNNNNNNUGCUUCUAUUUAUUUCUGAGUAGUUUUUUAUAUAGUUUUUUUUUCUUUUCUGCUAUAUUUAUUUUUUUUCUUUUUAUUUCUGAGUUGUAAUAAGUCAUUAAAAAUAAGCAUCUAUGCUCAUUUUUUAGUUAAGUUAAUCACAACUAUUAAAAAUAAGUCAUUAAAAAUAAAAAAGAGGCGCAAUGCUCGUUAAUUUGCUUUAAGCCUUUCGGAAUAGUGUCAGUUGCACUGCCCAUAGCUCUGUGCAGUCUACCCUAUUCCUCAAGGCUUGAAGCUAACCAACGUGCAGGUGAGCAUUGAGCCUCUUCUUCAUCGUCUCUGCACUCAGGGCUUAUAAACAGCUGCGAGUGCCUCUCGCUUGGCGAGGUGAGACUAAAAAAACAGCUGCAGAAAGAAUCAACUAAAAAACAGCUGCAGAAAAUAAAAAAUUAGACGGGUCCAUUGGUACCGGUUGGUGGUGCCAACCGGUACCAAUGCCCCUCUUUUGUACCGGUUGGUGCCACCAACCGGUACCAAUGCCCCUCUUUUGUCCCGGUUAGAGCCACCAACCGGGACCAAAGGUCUUCGUUUCCCGCCCUUUGGGCUGCCGAAAAGAGGCCUUUGGUCCCGGUUGGUGACUCCAACCGAGACAAAAGAGAGGCAUUGGUCCCGGUUUGUGGCACGAACCGGGACCAAAGCCUUUGCUAUAUAAGUAGCAGUGCCGCCCCGCCCCGACUUCGAUCUCUCCCGAUGCCGCGCGCCAUCCCCUGCCGCCACCUCGCCGUCGCCGCCCCACCCCGACGCCAUCGCCGCCCACCCUGCCNNNNNNNNNNNNNNNNNNNNNNNNNNNNNNNNNNNNNNNNNNNNNNNNNNNNNNNNNNNNNNNNNNNNNNNNNNNNNNNNNNNNNNNNNNNNNNNNNNNNNNNNNNNNNNNNNNNNNNNNNNNNNNNNNNNNNNNNNNNNNNNNNNNNNNNNNNNNNNNNNNNNNNNNNNNNNNNNNNNNNNNNNNNNNNNNNNNNNNNNNNNNNNNNNNNNNNNNNNNNNNNNNNNNNNNNNNNNNNNNNNNNNNNNNNNNNNNNNNNNNNNNNNNNNNNNNNNNNNNNNNNNNNNNNNNNNNNNNNNNNNNNNNNNNNNNNNNNNNNNNNNNNNNNNNNNNNNNNNNNNNNNNNNNNNNNNNNNNNNNNNNNNNNNNNNNNNNNNNNNNNNNNNNNNNNNNNNNNNNNNNNNNNNNNNNNNNNNNNNNNNNNNNNNNNNNNNNNNNNNNNNNNNNNNNNNNNNNNNNNNNNNNNNNNNNNNNNNNNNNNNNNNNNNNNNNNNNNNNNNNNNNNNNNNNNNNNNNNNNNNNNNNNNNNNNNNNNNNNNNNNNNNNNNNNNNNNNNNNNNNNNNNNNNNNNNNNNNNNNNNNNNNNNNNNNNNNNNNNNNNNNNNNNNNNNNNNNNNNNNNNNNNNNNNNNNNNNNNNNNNNNNNNNNNNNNNNNNNNNNNNNNNNNNNNNNNNNNNNNNNNNNNNNNNNNNNNNNNNNNNNNNNNNNNNNNNNNNNNNNNNNNNNNNNNNNNNNNNNNNNNNNNNNNNNNNNNNNNNNNNNNNNNNNNNNNNNNNNNNNNNNNNNNNNNNNNNNNNNNNNNNNNNNNNNNNNNNNNNNNNNNNNNNNNNNNNNNNNNNNNNNNNNNNNNNNNNNNNNNNNNNNNNNNNNNNNNNNNNNNNNNNNNNNNNNNNNNNNNNNNNNNNNNNNNNNNNNNNNNNNNNNNNNNNNNNNNNNNNNNNNNNNNNNNNNNNNNNNNNNNNNNNNNNNNNNNNNNNNNNNNNNNNNNNNNNNNNNNNNNNNNNNNNNNNNNNNNNNNNNNNNNNNNNNNNNNNNNNNNNNNNNNNNNNNNNNNNNNNNNNNNNNNNNNNNNNNNNNGUAAUUAAUAUGUAGUUCAUAUUUUUAGUAAGUACUAUUUUAUUUUAUUUAUAGUAAGUGCUUCAUAUAUAUAUAGUUGAACUAGCUAGUUGAUUUAAUAAACUAAUUUAUUUUACUAUAUAUAGAAGUAGUUUGUUUUUAGUAAGUAGUACUUUAUUUAUUUAUAGUAAGUGCUUAAUUAGUAGUUGAACUAGAUAGUUGAUUUAAUUAAUAAAACUACUUUAUUUAACUAUAUAUAGAAGUAGUUCCCGCAUCGACGUCGGCGAUGCCUAUCCCGCAUCCUCGUCGUCGUCGACUCGGCGGUGGAGGCUUGCUUGAUCAGGGCCAUGUUCGGGACUGGGCUCCGCCGGACUGGUAUUGGGAGCUGCUACCUUCCGGCGGACGUAGGUUGGUGAGGAGGCAGCCCGUUGUUGACCCGAUCCUUGUUUGGUGGCGAUCGUGUGGGCCAGUGACGGCGUCGAGGCUUCCGAACACCACGGAGGUGGUACGUCACCGUGUCAGCGAGGAGGACGAGCACGUCCGUUGCUACAUGGUUGCAUUGGAGGGCAGGUUCGACAAUACCUGGCAGGUUCUUCAGGGAUCUCACUAGAGCUAUGAUCCUGUGAUGGUUCCUUAUCUUUGGGUGUCCACCGCCCGCAUCGAUACCCGUCGGGCGCUACGGUUCUAGUUGUAUUUAGUGAUGCUAUAUUAGUGAUUGAAAGAUCGAGGAUGUCGCCUAGAGGGGGGGUGAAUAGGCGCUUUAAAAUAAUUACAGUUUAGGCUUGAACAAAUGCGGAAUAAACCUAGCGGUUAAUUUGUCAAGCACAAAACCUACAACAACUAGGUCACCUAUGUGCACCAACAACUUAUGCUAAGCAAGAUAAGCAACUAUGUGAUAGCAAGAUAUAUGACAAAAACAAUAUGGCUAUCACAAAGUAAAAUGCAUAAGUAAAGGGGCUCGGGUAAGAGAUAACAAAGGCACGCGGAGACGAUGAUGUAUCCCGAAGUUCACACCCUUGCGGAUACUAAUCUCCGUUUGGAGCGGUGUGGAGGCACAAUGCUCCCCAAGAAGCCACUAGAGCCACCGUAAUCUCCUCACGCCCUCGCACAAUGCAAGAUGCCGUGAUUCCACUAAGGGACCCUUAAGGGCGGUCACCUAACCCGUACAAAUGGUGACCCUUGGGGGCGGUCACCGAACCCGUACACUUUGGCAACCCUUGGGGGAGGUCACCGGUACCCGUCAAAUUGCUCGGGGCGAUCUCCACAACCUAAUUGGAGACCCCGACGCUUGCCCGGAGCUUUACACCACAAUGAUUGAGCUCCGAACACCACCAACCAUCUAGGGCACCAAGGCACCCAAGAGGAACAAGCUCUAGGGUGCCCAAACACCCAAGAAUAAUAAGCUUCUCAAACUUCACUUCCACGUAUCACCGUGGAGAACUCAAACCGAUGCAUCAAAUGCAAUGGCAAGGGCACACGGAGUGCCCAAGUCCUUCUCUCCCAAAUCCCACCAAAGCAACUAAUGCUAGGGAGGAAAAUGAGAGGAAGAACGAAAGAAGAACAUGAAGAACUCCAAGAUCUAGAUCCAAGGGGUUCCCCUCACUUAGAGGAGAAAGUGAUUGGUGGAAACGUGGAUCUAGAUCUCCUCUCUCUUUUCCCUCAAGAACUAGCAAGAAUCCAUGGAGGGAUUGAGAGUUAGCAAGCUCGAAGAAGGUCAACAAUAGGGGAAGAACACGAGCUCAAGGGAUUAGGUUCAUUGGGGAAGAAGACCCCCUUUUAUAGGACAUCCCGAAUCCAACCGUUAUGUGCUCAGGUCGUGCACAAGCGGUACUAUCGCUUGGAGGAGCGGUACUACCGCUUAGCACGGUCAAAACAGCCCAACGAGAAAGAAAACACGAGUUUUUGGUCCGGAGCGGUACUACCGCUUAGGAGCCACGGUAGUACUGCUCUGGAGCGGUACUACCGCUCAGGAGCCGCGGUAGUACCGCUCUGGAGCGGUAGUAAAAAAUUACAUCCGCUCUAGUCGCGGUAGUACCUCUGCAGCCUUUACCAAAACAGCCACAACUUUUGCAAACGGACUCCGAAUUCAACGAAACCAAGUUUGUUGGGAAGCUAAUGACAUGGGCUAACACAAUAUUGAUAGAAAUACAAAGAAUAAGAAAAUGAGAAAAGUCCCAUAAGAAAAUGGUGAGAACCCUUCACCGGAUAAGACCGGUAAAACCUCCAACACCGAAAGCAUCAUAGAAGACGCAUGCGAACUCCAUUUUUGAUGAACUCAAGCUUGUCAUCAAGAUGACCAUAAGCUCUAAGACUCACAAAGAUAACCAAACAAGAACCAAGAAACAUGAUGCAAGGAUGCAAUGGUUUGAUCUCUCUACUAACGAUACGAUCAAGCUACCAACUUGAGAGCCCCCUUUGAUAGUACGUCAAACGAUCCUAUAACUCUGUCUCCCAACUACCACCACAAUACCGGUAAAAUAGAAAAACUAUCAAGGGAAAACCUUUGCCUUGCACAUGGUCCACUUGAGCUAGAUGAAGACGAUCUUGACUCCCUCAAGUUGGACCACCUUUCUUGAUUGCGUUGGCUCGAUGAAGACUAGAUGAUUGCUCCCUCAUAAUUCACUAUGGGUGAGCCACUCUUCGGCACAUCUUCACAAGUCCAUUGACACCACAAUGGAUGGCAAGAUUCAAGCACUUGAUCUCUUCGUGAUGCUGCACUUGAACUUGCACACAGCAAUCUUGAUGACGAUCACCACUUGAUGUCAUCCUUUCCGUGGGUUGUAUGAUAUCUUCCUCUUGACGCAAGCCCAUGGAUACGUACCUAACCCCACAUACAACUCUCACAUAGACCAUGGGUUAGUACAUAAGGUGCAAUGGACAAUGCUUACCAUACCAUGGGAUCACUUGAUCCCUCUCAGUACAUCUUCUACGCUUUGUGAGUUGAUCAACUUGAUUCACUAUUGACUUAGUCUUGAUCAACCUUGAAUCUUUGCAACUCUCUUCAUUUGGAUGAUGUAUUGAAGGUAAACAUGAAUGAUCACACAACCUUCUUCUUCUUCAAGACAUGCUUGCAAUAAGCUCAACACUCGCAUGACCAAUCUUUGGAUAGUUCCUUAAUAGCACCUUGGUCAACUCAUAAAAUCCUUGAAACCAACACAUGGACUUCAAGAAAAGCCUAUGGACAAAUCCUUCAAAUAUAACUCAAGACAACCAUUAGUCCAUAGAGAUUGUCAUCAAUUACCAAAACCAAACAUGGGGGCACCGCAUGUUCUUUCAAUCUCCCCAUUUUGGUAAUUGAUGACAAUCACUUUCAAGAGAGUUUAUAUAAGGAAUUUUGCAUCACCAUGCAAUGCAACAACCAAUAGUGCAUGCGAAUGAGAUGCAAAUGCUAAGGAACAAAACCAAAGCAAGAAGAGAUAACUCUCUAAACUUCUCCACAAAACUCUCUGAAACUUCUCCCCCAUUGGCAUCGAUUGCCAAAAUGGGCGAAAAGCUUAGAAGGCCAAUAUAAAUUGUGGUCCUCCAUAAAUUUGUAUUUCUCAACAAGAGAGUGGAAUGCAAUACACAUAUCCAACUGACAAUACUUGGAGGAAGACAAACUAUAUUGAUGGUUGUUGGUGUCAAAACCGGCGGAUCUCGGGUAGGGGGUCCGAACUGUGCGUCUAGGCAGAUGGUAACAGGAGACGAGGGACACGAUGUUUUUACCCUGGUUCGGGCCCUCUUGAUGGAGGUAAAACCCUACGUCCUGCUUGAUUAAUAUUGAUGAUGUGGGUUACAAGAGUAGAUCUACCAUGAGAUCAAGGAGGCUAAACCCUAGAAGCUAGCCUAUGGUAUGAUUGUUGUUCGUCCUAUGGACUAAAGCCAUCCGGUUUAUAUAGACACCGGAGAGGGCUAGGGUUACACAGAGUCGGUUAAAAAGGUAGGAGAUCUACAUAUCCGUAUUGCCAAGCUUGCCUUCCACGCUAAGGAAAGUCCCAUCCGGACACGGGACGAGGUCUUCAAUCUUGUAUCUUCAUAGUCUUGGAGUCCGGCCGAUGAUGAUAGUUCAGCUAUCCGGACACCCCCUAGUCCGGAACUCCCUCAGUAGCCCCUGAACCAGGCUUCAAUGACGACGAGUCCGGCGCGCAUGUUGUCUUCGGCAUUGCAAGGCGGGUUCCUCCUACGAAUAAUUUAUAGAAGAUUGUGAACACCAGGAUAGUGUCCGGCUCUGCAAAAUAAUUUCCACAUACCACCGUAGAGAGAAUAAUAUUCACACAAGUUCAAUCUGCUGACGCAUUCCAUGGCGUGACGUCACACCACAACCAAGCCUUUAUUUGGAACGUUUUUAUUGUACCACUUCAGCGCGUUUAGCGAAGCGGUUUCCUUGGCACGUCCUGUCGAAGCAGAGAUCGUGUUCCCCUUAUUCCAGGAUUCUCAUCAAUACGGACGUGGGUAACCCAACCGCGCUCGUUGCCACGCCCCCUCCAUCGAAGGCGGGUUUCAAACGGUCACGGGGACGGCUCUUAGUAUUCUUCCUCUUUAUAAUGAGACCAAGGCCCGUUCUUUUUAUUCAAUCCUCUAUCGAAUCCGCCCCUCUCCCUGAGUUCCAACACCCAGGGCUCCGAGUUCAGGUACCUUCGAUCCUCGACAAUGUCCGGUCUUGAUCUACGAGGCCGGUGGAUGCCCUCCUCCAUCACGGAGGAGGACGUGCUAAAGCUGAGAGAUGCCAGGUAUUUAACCUACGAGAUUUCGCAUAGGCUGCCUGCCCGAGGGCAAGUUAUCCCAACUCCCGAGCCUGGCGAGAUCGUCGUGUUCAUGUCUCACUUCCGUCGGGGUUUAGGCUUCUCCACGGAUCCCUACAUGAGGGGGCUCAUGUUUUACUAUGGGCUGGAAUUCCACGACCUGGCUCCGGAGUCCAUCCUCCAUAUCUCAUCAUUCAUUGUCAUUUGUGAAGCCUUCCUCCGCACUACCCCUCACUUCGGCUUAUGGCUCAAAACCUUCAACAUGGAGCCGAAGAUGAUUGAGGGGCGUCAGGCAGAGUGCGGCGGGCGGUUAUAAGCUAGAGGGCCGAAGCUCCAUGGCCCAAGGGCUCUUUCCAAGAGGAGCUCGGCUUGUGGCAACAGGAGUGGUUUUAUAUCACCGCUCCCCGGGGUAGCAGGCAGAAGUCGCCGCCCGUCUUUCGCUCGGGCCCUCCACAGCAGCUGACAUCAUGGGUCAACAAGGGGCGUGACUGGGGGCCGCCCAAAGACGUUCCCCUGUUGCAAGACUGGAUUCGAGUCCUCCAAGAAAGGGAGAUCAAUCUGGUCGCAGUGGUGCAGGUCAUGUUGAUCCGGCGCCUACUGCCCUGCAAACGUCGCCCCCUCCGCCUGUGGGAAUUUAAUCCGGAGGGGCCGCGAGCUCUUCAACACUUCAUGGGUUUGACUCCCAUGGAGAUGUAUAAACUGUUCUUCGGAUCGCAAGAGACAAAUCCGGAAUUGAUCGAGGACGCUGGCCUAAGAUGCAAUCGCCCGGAUACUCAAGUAAGUAGCCUGUGUCCGAACACACCGUCCAUUUAUUUAUAGUGAGCUUGCCUUUUAACCAGCUUUCCCUGGACGAGAGUGGAUAGCGCAAGCAAAACUGAUACGGUGUCCGGCCCCCCUCCCUGAGACCAUGCAGGAUCCCGUGUUAAUCAAAAUGUUGGAGGUUGCACCUUCGAAUGAGGGCGAAGGGGGGCACGGGGAAACUGUCACCUAUGCCAAGGAGGUUUUUAGUAAGGGAGGAAUCGAGAGUCCCUCCUUCCAGGGGGAGAAGAGGACCGCUUCCGAAGACCCGGAGGCCAAGGCCUCAAAGCGAGGAAAGAAAUCUCUACCGGAAGGUCCUGCGCCGGGAAGAGCCCCGGCCGUACUGUCUCCUCGGAGGAAUCAGCCCUCUAACGAGCCGUAAGUAAAAAGGGGGAUUUAUAAUUAUUAGACACCCCUGCUUAAUGUCUAAAGGUAACCGAAGUUUUUACCUUGUAGUUCGGAUCUCAGCCCAUCUCAGCACAGCUCAUCUUCGGGAGACCUUCGUCCGGAGAUGAUGGAGAGCAAAACGCCUCCAUCUGCCGCCCCAUCGCAUGGGGCGGACGACCCUGAGGUGUCUUCGCAGAGGGUCUCCCCGAGUCCGGCGGGGCCGGAGAGUUCGGCACCCAUUGGAGUACAGCCGGUGGAGCUGCAGGAUUUGCUUAAGAGGGCGUCCAUCUCAGAAGAUCACCGCACAUUAAUGGGUAAUGUGAUUGAGAGGAUCUCGUCCGCCGAAAGCGGGUUGUAUGAGGCCGUCGGAAGUUUACUGACGGGAUUUGAGGUACGCAAAAAAUGACAUACCUGUUGACAGUUUUGCACAUGAAGUGCGCCCUGUAUAGUAGCCCCUAAGACUUGGUAUGCUGUCGAAAACGGCAGCGUGCCUAAGAUCAUAAUCUCAGUUAUUAACUGUCGCCUUUCCUAUGCAGGUGGCGGAACAUUCGGUGGCCAGCCGGACGGAUGGAUUCGCCGAGCUGAAGAAGCAACUCGACGCUGCAGAUGCGGACAUCUUGCUGGUCAAUAAACGACUUGAUGAGUCACAAGGUAUGUGAUUGCGCCGCGGUCGCUUAGUAAGGGAGCUGAUGCCCAUUCCUUACAAGUUGUAUGCUUGAUGCAGAUGGUGCUGCUGCUAUGGAAGACCUUCGAGCAGAACUUGCUCGGGCCAAGGAGCAAGCCAGAAAAAGCGAGACGGCUGCCUUGAAGGCAGCGAAAGAGCUAGAAGCCGAGAAGGCUGCUCACUGCCGGAGCAGGGAGGAGAUGGCCGGAAUGGCCAUGAAAUUGAAAGUUGCUACCGACCGCCUGGAGGUUCUUGAAGGAGAACGCCGAGCGAAGCAAGAGGACCUGAAGAAGGCCGAUGCCGAAGCCAAGGAUGCCCGUAGUGCGAUGCGGGCUAUGAAGGAGGAACUGCGUCAGGUCGGAGACAUUGUGGCUGGAAAACCCUUUAUGCUGCGUAGGAAGUUCACGGAUCCGAAGUAUGCUUAGCUGGGCCGAUUGUACGGUGCGGAGGAUCCUUAUCUGGACUUGGCGGCGAGUGCGGCUGAUGCAGUCAUGCACUUUCGAAGCCAGGAGGAUCAUGAAAUGGAAGAGCUUUUCUGGUCUCAAUUUCAUAGUCCGGAGCGUCCACUUCCGUUGAGUGAUCGGCUGGUUGAGUGGGCUGAGCUGAAUAGAUUGUCCGGACUAGCCAUGAUGGAUGUGGUCACUCAUCUGUGGCCGAAAAGGCCCAAGCCGAAGAGUUAUUUUGGCUUGUUGCAGCAAUUCCUUGGGGCAGUGCCGCAUAUUAAGGCGAUGAAGUGGUCGGCAUGCAUAGAAGGUGCACGGAUGGCUCUCGCCCGUGGUAAAACAUACUGGGCGGAGAUGGAUGCCACCGAUGUUGCAUCCCGGGGUUCGGACAAAAGUUGAUUCCCCACCGAGCAUUACUUUGAGGAAGUCCUGCAGGGCGCUCGUAUAAUAGAGUCGCAGUGCUUGAAAGAUGUUAUGUUUGAAUGACAUGUAUGAUUUCUAAGAUCAUGUUUAUAAUGCAAUGACUUUUUAUACUUGUGUGUUCAAGUAUUGAACUAUCUCCUGUGCGGCCGUAUAUAUAUAUAUAUAUAUAUAUAUAUAUAUAUAUAUAUAUAUAUAUAUAUAUAUAUAUAUAUAUGUAUAAUCUGAAAGAUGGCAGUCUUUGGCUUCAGCCCCCACGCACAUGGUGCGGGGGUGUUUGCAAAAAGAAAAUCGCUUCUUCACACUUAAUCCAACGUCUUGGUCCUUUUAAGGACGUGAUAGCGUAGCAAACUAGGCAACCGGACUAUAAUACUUUAUCACUUUCACUUAGCCAUAGGAGCUCGAAUGUGGGGCUACUAUAUAGCCCCUGAUGGCACCGCGCUUCUCCGAACUCGGGGCGCGUAUGUGCCUGACCGGGAAGCGGUCCUUCGUCAAAGCGGAGGAAUUCUAAACAUUCCAAUGGUCGACCGAGUGGUUGACCAGUCUCUCGCUAUAUCAUGAUAGUCAGUUUUCGGCUUUCUCUACUGAGGUGCUCUCCCGGCCGAACCGGGGCACAAUCGCAGUAGUUCUCCUGGUGCCGCGUUAGCCGAUGAUACGGAACGUAAGGCAGCAAAACACAGUAGCCGGGCAAACCCAACAUUUGACCAAAGACAUGAUUCGGAGCUGAUGCAUAUAAGGCCUAACUCGAGAUGCCGGACACUCCCUGAGGUGUUCGGUCUUUAUGAUAUUGGGCCGAACAAAGCCCUAAGCCCCUAGUGUCCAGGUACAGGCGGGAACUUCUGACGCGGCCGAUGCCAAAACGCCAGCCUCCUCCUCGGCUCUGGUAGGAAACCGGGGGAUGUGUAUCAACAAGAGACAGUAAGAAAGGUUUACGCAGGGUCUUAAUCUGAAAAGAAUCCUUGCAACGGGUCCCUACUGCACGUCUGCGCCUGUGUCUCCGUUGUGUUGUAUCCUGGACAGGUGUAGCACGUGCUUCAUCUGUAAAAGAGAAGGACUUAGUUUCUAAGAAAUAUCGUGCAAAAAGUGUAUCAAAAUAAAGUAUAAUUUAGAAGAUGAAGAAAGUUGAGCUUUAUUGGCUUUCAUCAUUUAUGCGCGCGCCCCCCUAAAAAAAGGGGUAUGCGGCUGGGAAGCCCCUUGCCGGACUCGUCUAACCAUGUCCGAGGUCUAAAUGACCUGUUUUUAGGGGCUUUGACCUGCAAGGUCGGAAUAAUGUGUGGCUGUCUAGGCAGCCGCACAUUCUUCGUGGUCGAGAGACACCUGGAGUUUUUAAGAAUAUUCCACGUGGACCAGGCAUUUGUAAGCGUAAGAGACGCGUAAUGUUGUAUUGCAUUAAAGCAAGCGAAAGCUUCGCGCCCCAGUAGCGCUUAAGGGCUACUGUUAAAUGGGGCGAUGGAGAGUGAGCUUUUCGCGAUGGAGGUUGUCGGAUGAACCGAACACGACCUCUAGUGGUACAGAGCCUGUAAAAUUGGCUUAAAAGGCCUGGCGUCACUCCUUUGAAGGAAGUGCUGCUAUAGCGAAUUUUGGUGGGUUCUAUCCCCAGUCUGCGGAUGGUGUCCUGGUAUAGCAGGUGCCGCGCUGCGUGUUAUCACGUGAAGUGAGUUCACUGUUUGGACUUCUAGUGGGAAAGUCUUUUGGUUUCCGGAGCGCUGCUUUUGGGUUUCGUCACUUUCACUUGGUGUGUCGAGCCCCUUGUGUUCGGCGUUAAGUCGGCCGGACUGCUUGAAGACCCAACAAUCUCUGUGGGUAUGGUUUGCAGGCUUCCCGGAGGUACCAUGUAUUUGGCACAGUCUGUCCAGAAUCUUGUUUAGGUUGGAUAGCUCGUCACUGUUAUCCUUUAAGGGCAGUGUUUUGUUGUUCGGCCGAGAGCUUUUGAAUCCGGCGUUGACCACCGUACUAUUUGGGCCAUUCUCCUUGUUCCGGCGCUGAUCUUUUUUGCGUCGUGAUUUCCCAUUUCCAUCCCUGAUUUCGGAUGUACUCGGGUCGCUGGUGCUGCAUCUAGCCAACCCGCUGUCUUCCCCAGCGCAAAAGCGGGUCAUGAGACUUGUUAGUGCGGCCAUUGUUCUUGGUUUUUCCUGGCCGAGGUGUCUGGCGAGCCAUUCGUCUCGGACGUUGUGUUUGAAGGCUGCUAAGGCUUCAGCGUCCGGACAGUCAACUAUUUGGUUCUUUUUAGUGAGGAACCUGUUCCAGAAUUUGCGUGUCCGGGCUGUUGAGUUAUGUGACUUAAAUCAUCUGCAUCCGGAGGCCGGACAUAAGUCCCCUGAAAAUUUGCUCGAAACGCAUCCUCAAGCUCUUCCCAACUCCCAAUCGUAUUUUCUGGGAGGCUUUUAAGCCAAUGCCGGGCCGGCCCUUUGAGCUUGAGGGGAAGGUAUUUUAUGGCAUGGAGAUCAUCUCCUCUUGCCAUGUGUAUGUGUAGGAUAUAAUCCUCAAUCCAGACUCCGGGGUCUGUUGUUCUGUCGUAUGCCUCUAUGUUUAUGGGUUUAAAUCCCGCUGGAAAUCCAUGAUCCAGUACCUCGUCGGUAAAACAUAGUGGGUGUGCGGCGCCCCUAUAUUUGGGUGUGCCAUUGUCUUCAAAUGCUCGGCUGGUUGUGUUACUUCCUGGAGUCUUCUUUUUUGGCCCAUACAUAGACCUGGUCGGGUUAUCCUUUUUCUGAAGAUCUUUAUGCUGAUCAUGUGCCGGCUUGUGUGUGGAGCCCCAUGUUGCUCUUGGCCUGUCAUCUGGUUGUCUAUCCGGCUAGGCGGCCCCUUUAUUUUUUGACUGCGGGGGCUCGAAGGCCUCCUCGUCAAAUUCGGGCAACAGCUUGCGCUUCGGGUAGCUCUUUGUCUGGUGAUUAGUGCCAUAUUUAUCUGCGGUGUUGAGUACUUUGCUCCAUCUCAUUCUGAGUGUGUCUUCCGCUGUUUUGAGCUUCCGCUUUUGCUUCUUCAAACUUCUUGCAGUGGCGACGAGCCUGUUAUGGAGAUUCCUAUGCUCUGGUGAUGUGAGGUCAUCUUCGUCGGGGAUGGGUUGCUUGUCCGGUUCAUGUCCGGCUGGCUGCUUGUUGACGUGUGCGUCGUCUACUGCUUUGCCCUGCUCUAGGGCCGGGUUCAUAUGGGUACCGUUUUUGUCGAUGCCGGUCUUUGGGCGGCGCUUGCGUCGCCGCUUUGUUUGUUUGUUGGGGGAGUUGUCCUUCGCCACUUCCCGUUUUUCCUCAUUGUCGCUUCCUUUUGGUGUGUCCACCAUGUAUACGUUGUGAGCUGGGGUGGCUUUUCCGUGCCCGUUAGGCGCUGGUUCUUGGUCAUCUCCGGCAUCGUCGUCCAUACCGUCGAUGUCUUCGGAGUCGUAGUCUAACAUGUUGGUUAGAUCGUCGACAGCGGCUACCAAGUGGGUGGUGGGUGGGCUUUGAAUUUCUUCGUCGUCCGCAUCCCAACCUUCCUGACCGCAGUCCGGCCAGGGCUCUCCUGAUAACGAGAGAUACUUUAGCGAACUCAAGAUGUCGCCAAAAGGUGAGUGUUGAAAGACGUCCGCUGUAGUGAACUCCAUGAUCGACGCCCAGUCAGAUUCGAUCGGGGCGGGCGCGGGAGGUUCGGAGUCACGAGCUUUAUGAGGGACGAAGUCAGUGUUCGGCUCUAUCGCCGUAGAGGUUGCAGCCCCCAAGGUGGUGUCUAGGCAUCCAUCCUCGAUCUGCGGAGCUGGCUCCGAAUUGAAGAUCGGAGUGGUUUCGAGUGCGGCCUCCAGGGUACUGUCCGGCGGCAGAGCUAAAUCAUGCCCAUCGUGACAGUACAGCACGCUCGGCUGUGGCUCGAAUCCGUCGAGGAUCAAGUCCCCGCGGAUGUCAGCCGUGAAGUUCAAAUUUCCACAUCUGACCUGACGGCCAGGGGCGUAGCCUUCGAUCUGCUCCAUCAUGCCAAGCGAAUUGGCCCGCAGUGCAAAGCCGCCGAAUACGAAGAUCUAUCCGGGGAGGAAGGUCUCACCCUGGACUGCAUCGUCGUUGAUGAUCGAAGAAGCCAUCGAGCCUAUCGGUGACGACACAGAGGAACUCUCAAUGAAAGCACCAAUGUCGGUGUCAAAACCGGCGGAUCUCGGGUAGGGGGUCCCGAACAGUGCGUCUAGGCGGAUGGUAACAGGACACGAGGGACACGAUGUUUUUACCCAGGUUCGGGCCCUCUUGAUGAAGGUAAAACCCUACGUCAUGCUUGAUUAAUAUUGAUGAUGUGGGUUACAAGAGUAGAUCUACCACGAGAUCAAGGAGGCUAAACCCUAGAAGCUAGCCUAUGGUAUGAUUGUUGUUCGUCCUAUGGACUAAAGCCAUCCGGUUUAUAUAGACACCGGAGAGGGAUAGGGUUACACAGAGUUGGUUACAAAGGUAGGAGAUCUACAUAUCCGUAUCGCCAAGCUUGCCUUCCACGCCAAGGAAAGUCCCAUCCGGACACGGGAUGAGGUCUUCAAUCUUAUAUCUUCAUAGUCUUGGAGUCCGGCCGAUGAUGAUGGUUCGGCUAUCCGGACACCCCCUAGUCCGGAACUCCCUCAAUGGCCAAAGAUUGCAACAGAAAGAUAUGCCACAAAGACAUAACAAAGAGAGACACAAGCAAUCAACGGAUAUCAAUUGAACCAACUAGACCAAUGAUCCUACAUGCCACAAGAAUAAAGAUAUUAUGAAAAGCGCAAAGGAGUGUUCUAAAGAAACUAGAGAAGCUCCCCAUGAUUUGUGCACACAUAAGAAUUUUUUGUAUUUGAAUACAAAGUGCACAAAAUAGGAUCAUAGCUCCCCCAAAAUCAAUAGAAACUCACAUCCAGUGCAAGUGAGCAUAUAGGAAACAAAGCCUAACGCUUGCAACAAGCACAUGGUUCAGCAACAUGUAAAAGAGGCAACUUAAGAAUAGGCUCAACCAAAAUGAUGUGUGUGAGUCAUGGCGAAGCACUUGAGAAGACUAAAAUUAGGAUGAGCAUUAAGCAUCAACAUAGUCUUGAAAGAAUGAGGCACACGGUGCAAGGCCUAUCAUUCCCACACACAACUGGCAAAUGGGUUCACAAGCUUACUAAUAAGCAAAAGAGAACCUAUUCUUGUGACAACCCGUGGUUAAGAUAGAUGAGGGGAGGCUCAUCAAGACGAGGGAUACCAAUUAAGAUGGCAAAAACCUCGUAAAGAUAAGCAAGAGGAAAAUAAUCUUCACCACACAAGAGUGCAACAAGAUGCAACGAUAGAGGACACACACUCAAGGCAAAAGCUUUCACGGAGCCACCAAAGAAAUAACAUAAGAAAGACAAGGUGGACGUGAAAGAAAGGAUAUCAACUAGAGAUGUAAUUUCUCUCAAGUGUAUGAGGUUCUAUGUAGACGAAAUCAUGAUGAUAUAUAUAUCUACAAAGAAGGAUGUACACCCGGAAUAGUUACAACAUGAAGGAACAAGAUAUCCACAAGGAAGCCAUAAAUAUACAAUUAAGAUAUUGCUUGAAAGCAUAGCACAUGGCUAGAUAUGGUCUUAUUGUAUAUGAAUGAAGUCCAAACACACAUCCAUCAAAGGCAUCACAACUAGCAACAAGAGAUCAUCGUUGGGAUGCAUUGAGAAAGGAAACAAGUAUCACAAGAUAUGAAAUGAAUAUCAUGCCAAGAUGCAACCUACACAAGGUUGAAUGCAAGAGGAGAAAGCAUGAAUAGAUACUUGUUACCGAGAUAUCAUUGGAAGGAUGUAGUAGAUACCAAUUGAAGGUAGAUAGUAGUUCAUUGAUCAUCCUAGCUUAACUCCAAUAAGCACAUGGUGACAACACCUUCCUUGUGAGUGAGUCGAGCAUCCAAUGCAUCUCCAACCGUUCCUACAAGGACAACACAAACUAAACGGUACCCCAAACUCAUUGGGACCAAAUAGUUAGAAACACCAAUACAUAGGACAAAUUCCACAUAAAUAUGUGCAUAUAGAUAUGGAAAUUAAUUUCAUGCACAUCUCAUCCAAUUUGAGACUUGGUGGAGUUUCCCCUAUAUAUUGGGUCAACGAAAGAAAGCAUGCCAAAUAGAAUACAUGAAGUAAAUAUGCAUGCUCAAAACUUUCAAGAACCGAUACCAAAAGACAAAGAAAUGCCAAGUGAAAAGGAUACCAAAUGGAGAAAUCAUCACUUGGAAGAUAUCAUUAAAGAUACAUCAAGGAAUGAGAUAUCCAUUGAUACACACUAAAUUAAAGAUGUCAAACUCCCAAAGAGAGGAUGGUUCCAAACAAACCAAGCUCUCAACAAAGUUUCAUGAUGGCACAAGGUACCAAAAGAAAACGGCUUGCCUUCCACCAACACACACUUGAUAAGGAUCACAAGAAGAGUGUUCUAAAGAAAAUAGGAUAGCUCCCCCACGAGUUGUGCAUUAUAGAGAAUUUCCUUUUGAAUACGAAAUGCACAAGGUGGGAUCACCACUUUCUCUAUAUCUAGAAAACACUAGACGAGAACAAGAAAUUAACAAGAUCCACAAGUGGUAUGGAAGACAAUGGGAGUUGACACAAACCUUGGAAAGAGAAAAGGCAAAUAAAAACAAAAUCCAAUGUAAAGAUGAUCAAUUAAAUUCUACCACACAUAAGUGAUUACCAAUUGUCAAAAGAAGUAUUUGGAAAUAAUUCCCGGUGGUAGAUAGCAAGGAUAUCCGACAUCAUCUUCACUCCAAACAAAAAGCAAAAUGCAACUUGUAGAGCUAACAUGCCACCUAGGAACAAGAUAAUCUACAAUAUCAAUUCUAGGUGACAAUAUCUCAAAUGUACAUAUUUUCUAGGCUUGUAAUAUGCACUUAGCAUAUUACUCCCCCAUAAUGUGAUACCAAUAAGAACUUAACAAGAGGCAAUAAGAGGAACAAACAAGAGAUAAUUAAUGGACUAUUUAGAAUUUGAAUUUCUCAUGAGAGAUAUACCACCUAGCGACUAGAUAAUCUUGUAAUAUCAAUACUAGAUGGUAUUCCUCAUGUACACACAUUUAUAGGAUUGUGAGGUGCACAAAGCACAUCACUCUCCCAAAAUGGGAUGUUCCAUUAAUCUCUCACACGAGCCAACUAGGAUACAAACAAGAAGCAUAAAGGCUCAACGCACGACAUACACGUACAUGAUGUGCAAACCAACACACACAUACUUGAUUGCUCAAGAUAAGCAAGUUGGAAUCACAACAUAUACCAACACAUGCAAGGAACAAAACCAAAACAUGCAAGGGGGGCAAGUAACUUUCAAUGUAAGCAAUUUUAAGUACAAGUUACCGCAAGGAGGCACAUUGGAUAUAAGAAAUAAACUUGAUGAUUCAAUUGACUUGGCUUGAGACAAUAAGAGUGAUGAAGUCCCCUUAAUUCUUCAUAAUGUAGCCAAGUCUCCAAUGCCCUCCAACAACACCUAUUGAUAAAGAUUGAGCUUGUUGGUCCCCAACCAAGUUGGGUCCUAAGAGGUUAGUCACAAUAGGCUUGGCAACCCAAAUGGUUCUUUUCUUGACACCACUUUGAGUACCAACAAACUUGGCAAACACAUUGUCAACCUUAUCCUUCCCAAGAGAAUAGAUAUCAUCAAUAGUAAUUGGGUUGGAUAAGUUACCACUAGUGCAUGAAGAAGUGACGUGGCCUUUCUCACGACAUAAGUAGCAACGUCUACUCUUCACUUUCUUCUCACUUGAUUUCUCAACAAGAGAAGCAUUAACUUGAUUCUUCUUGAGAAGAGGCCUUUCUUCAACUUGAGGUUGAGCAUGAGAUUCUCUGUUGGAAAAGGCAGUGCCUAGGAGGCGCUUAGGCACUCCUAGGUGCUAGGCACUGGCCAAACGCCUCGCCUAGGGCAUAAAUGGAGGUCUAGGUAGGGCAAGCAAGGAAUUGCCUACCCAAGCAAGAAAUCAUACCACAUACUGCACUGAUAUGACAAACCGGCUAUAUUCCAAUGGCAGUAGAUGGUUAUUAACUUAUUUAUGUGCCCUAAACUAAUAUCAACACCCAUAUAAUAAUCACAAAUACACUACGAGUAAAACUAUAUUACCGCCUAGGCCGCGCCUAGGGCGCUUAGGCACCGCCUAGUGUUGGGAAACGUAGUAAUUUCAAAAAAAUUCCUACGCACACGCAAGAUCAUGGUGAUGGCAUAGCAACGAGAGGGGAGAGUGUUGUCCAUGUACCCUCGUAGACCGUAAGCGGAAGCGUUAUCACAACGCGGUUGAUGUAGUCGUACGUCUUCAUGACUCGACCGAUCCAAGCACCGAACGUAUGGCACCUCCAUGUUCAGCACACGUUCAGCUCGAUGACGUUCCCCGGGCUCCAAUCCAGCAAAGUGUCGGGGAUGAGUUCUGUCAGCAUGACGGCGUGGUGACGAUGAUGAUGUUCUACCGGCGCAGGGCUUCGCCUAAACUCCGCGACAAUAUGACCGAGGUGGAAUAUGGUGGAGGGGGGCACCGCACACGGCUAAGGAAUGAUCCGUAGAUCAACUUGUGUGUACUAGGGUGCCCCCCUGCCCCCGUAUAUAAAGGAGCAAGGGGGAGGCCGGCCGGCCCCUUGGGGCGCGCCAAGGAGGAGUCCUCCUCCUAGUAGGAGUAGGACUCCCCUUUUCCUACUCCUACUAGGAGGGGGAAAGGAAGAGGGAGAGCGGGAAGGAAAGAGGGGGGCGCCACCCCCCCUCCUAGUCCAAUUCGGACCAGAGGGAGAGGGGCGCGCGGCCCACCCUGGCCGCCCCUCUCUCUUCCCACUAAGGCCCAUGUGGCCCAUUAACUCUCCCGGGGGGUUCCGGUAACCCUCCGGCACUCCGGUUUUCUCCGAAAUCACCCGGAACACUUCCGGUGUCCAAAUAUAGUCGUCCAAUAUAUCAAUCUUUAUGUCUCGAUCAUUUCGAGACUCCUCGUCAUGUCCGUGAUCACAUCCGGGACUCCGAACAAACUUCGGUACAUCAAAACUUGUAAACUCAUAAUAAAACUGUUAUCGUAACGUUAAGCGUGCGGACCCUACCGGUUCGAGAACUAUGUAGACAUGACCUAGAACUAUUCUUGGUUAAUAACCAAUAGUGGAACCUGGAUGUUCAUAUUGGUUCCUACAUAUUCUACGAAGAUCUUUAUCGGUCAAACCGCAUAACAACUUACGUUGUUCCCUUUGUCAUCGGUAUAUUACUUGCCCGAGAUUCGAUCGUCGGUAUCCAAUAACUAGUUCAAUCUCGUUACCGGCAAGUCUCUUUACUCGUUACGUAAUACAUCAUUUCAUAACUAACUCAUUAGUUACAAUGCUUGCAAGGCUUAAGUGAUGAGUAUUACCGAGAGGGCCCAGAGAUACCUCUCCGACAAUCGGAGUUACAAAACCUAAUCUCGAAUUAUGCCAACUCAACAUGUACCUUUGGAGACACCUGUAGAGCACCUUUAUAAUCACCCAGUUACAUUGUGACGUUUGGUAGCACACAAAGUGUUCCUCCGGUAAACGGGAGUUGCACAAUCUCAUAGUUGUAGGAACUUUGUAUAAGUCAUGAAGAAAGCAAUAGCAACAUACUAAACAAUCAAGUGCUAAGCUAAUGGAAUGGGUCAAGUCAAUCACAACAUUCUCCUAAUGAUGUGAUCCCAUUAAUCAAAUGACAACACAUGUCUAUGGUUAGGAAACAUAACCAUCUUUGAUUAAUGAGCUAGUCAAGUAGAGGCAUACUAGUGACACUUUGUUUGUCUAUGUAUUCACACAUGUAUCAUGUUUCCGGUUAAUACAAUUCUAGCAUGAAUAAUAAACAUUUAUCAUGAUAUGAGGAAAUAAAUAAUAACUUUAUUAUUGCCUCUAGGGCAUAUUUCCUUCAGUCUCCCACUUGCACUAGAGUCAAUAAUCUAGAUUACAUAGUAAUGAUUCUAACACCCAUGGAGUCUUGGUGUUGAUCAUGUUUUGCUCGUGAGAGAGGCUUAGUCAACGGGUCUACAACAUUCAGAUCCGUAUGUAUUUUGCAAAUCUCUAUGUCUCCCACUUGGACUUGGUCCCGAAUGGAAUUGAAGCGUCUCUUGAUGUGCUUGGUCCUCUUGUGAAAUCUGGAUUCCUUUGCCAAGGAAAUUGCACCAGUAUUGUCACAGAAGAUCUUCAUUGGUCCCGAUGCACUAGGUAUAACACCUAGAUCGGAAAUGAACUCCUUCAUCCAGACUCCUUCAUUUGCUGCUUCCGAAGCAGCUAUGUACUCCGCUUCACAUGUAGAUCCCGCCACGACGCUUUGUUUAGAACUGCACCAACUUACAGCUCCACCGUUUAACAAAAAUAUGUAUCCGGUUUGUGAUUUAGAAUCAUCCGGAUCAGUGUCAAAGCUUGCAUCGACGUAACCAUUUACGACUAGCUCUUUGUCACCUCCAUAUAUGAGAAACAUAUCCUUAGUCCUUUUCAGGUAUUUCAGGAUGUUCUUGACCGCCGUCCAGUGACCCACUCCUGGAUUACUUUCGUACCUCCCUGCCAAACUAAUAGCAAGGCACACAUCAGGUCUGGUACACAGCAUUGCAUACAUGAUAGAGCCUAUGGCUGAAGCAUAGGGAACUCCUUUCAUUUUCUCUCUAUCUUCUGCAGUGGUCGGGCAUUGAGUCUGACUCAACUUUAUACCUUGUAAUACAGGCAAGAACCCUUUCUUCGCCUGAUCCAUAUUGAACUUUUUCAACACUUUAUCAAGGUACGUGCAUUGUGAAAGUCCAAUCAAGCGUCUUGAUCUAUCUCUAUAGAUCUUAAUGCCCAAUAUGUAAGCAGCUUCACCGAGGUCUUUCAUUGAAAAACUUUUAUUCAAGUAUCCUUUUAUGCCAUUCAGAAAUUCUAUAUCAUUUCCAAUCAACAAUAUGUCAUCUACAUAUAAUAUUAGAAAUGCUACAGAGCUCCCACUCACUUUCUUGUAAAUACAGGCUUCUCCAAAAGUCUGUAUAAAACCAUAUGCUUUGAUCACACUAUCAAAGCGUUUAUUCCAACUCCGAGAGGCUUGCACCAGACCAUAGAUUGAUCGCUGGAGCUUGCACACUUUGUUAGCUCCCUUAGGAUCGACAAAACCUUCCGGUUGCAUCAUAUACAACUCUUCUUCCAGAAAUCCAUUCAGAAAUGCGGUUUUGACAUCCAUCUGCCAAAUUUCAUAAUCAUAAAAUGCGGCAAUCGCUAACAUGAUUCGGAUAGACUUAAGCAUCGCUACAGGUGAGAAACUCUCAUCGUAGUCAACCCCUUGAACUUGUCGAAAACCUUUCGCAACAAGUCGAGCUUUAUAGACAGUUACAUUACCGUCAGCGUCAGUCUUCUUCUUAAAGAUCCAUUUAUUCUCAAUGGCUUGCCGAUCAUCGGGCAAGUCAACCAAAGUCCAUACUUUGUUUUCAUACAUGGGUCCCAUCUCAGAUUUCAUGGCUUCUAGCCAUUUUGCGGAAUCUGGGCUCAUCAUCGCUUCCUCAUAGUUCGUAGGUUCAUCAUGGUCAAGUAACAUGACUUCCAGAAUAGGAUUACCGUACCACUCUAGUGCAGAUUUUAUUCUGGUAGACCUACGAGGUUCAGUAGAAACUUGAUCUGAAUUUUCAUGAUCAAUAUCAUUAUCUUCCUCACUAAUUGGUGUAGAUGUCACAGGAACUGAUUUUUGUGAUGAACUACUUUCCAAUGAGGGAGCAGACAUAGUUAUCUCAUCAAGUUCUACUUUCCUCCCACUCACUUCUUUCGAGAGAAACUCCUUUUCUAGAAAGGAUCCAUUCUUAGCAAUGAAUGUCUUGCCUUUGGAUCUGUGAUAGAAGGUGUACCCAACAGUCUCUUUUGGGUAUCCUAUGAAGACACAUUUCUCUGAUUUGGGUUUGAGCUUAUCUGGUUGAAGUUUCUUCACAUAAGCAUCGCAUCCCCAAACUUUAAGAAACGACAACUUUGGUUUCUUGCCAAACCAUGGCUCAUAAGGCGUCGUCUCAACGGAUUUUGAUGGUGCCCUAUUCAAAUGUGAAUGCAGCCGUCUCUAAAGCAUAAACCCAAAAUGAUAGCGGUAAAUCAGUAAGAGACAUCAUAGAUCGCACCAUAUCUAGUAAAGUACGAUUACGACGUUCGGACACACCAUUACGUUGUGGAGUUCCGGGUGGCAUGAGUUGCGAAACUAUUCCGCAUUGUUUCAAAUGUAAACCAAACUCGUAACUCAAAUAUUCUCCUCCACGAUCAGAUCGUAGAAACUUAAUUUUCUUGUUAUGAUGAUUUUCUACUUCACUCUGAAAUUCUUUGAACUUUUCAAAUGUUUCAGACUUGUGUUUCAUUAAGUAGAUAUACCCAUAUCUGCUCAAAUCAUCUGUGAAGGUGAGAAAAUAACGAUAUCCGCCACGUGCUUCAAUAUUCAUCGGUCCACAUACAUCUGUAUGUAUGAUUUCCAACAAAUCUGUUGCUCUCUCCAUAGUACCGGAGAACGGUGUCUUAGUCAUCUUGCCCAUGAGGCACGGUUCGCAAGUACCAAGUGAUUCAUAAUCAAGUGAUUCCAAAAGUCCAUCAGUAUGGAGUUUCUUCAUGUGCUUUACAUCGAUAUGACCUAAACGGCAGUGCCACAAAUAAGUUGCACUAUCAUUAUCAACUCUGCAUCUUUUGGCUUGGACAUUAUGAAUAUGUGUAUCACUACUAUCGAGAUUCAAUAAAAAUAGACCACUCUUCAAGGGUGCAUGACCAUAAAAGAUAUUACUCAUAUAAAUAGAAUAACCAUUAUUCUUUGAUUUAAAUGAAUAACCGUCUCACAUCAAACAAGAUCCAUAUAUAAUGUUCAUGCUCAACGCUGGCACCAAAUAACAAUUAUUCGGGUCUAAGACUAAUCCCGAAGGUAGAUGUAGAGGUAGCAUGCCGACCGCGAUCACAUCGACUUUGGAACCGUUUCCCACGCGCAUCGUCACCUCGUCCUUGGCCAGUGCUCACUUAUUCCGUAGUCCCUGUUUCAAGUUGCAAAUAUUAGCAACAGAACCAGUAUCAAAUACACAAGUGCUACUACGAGCUCUAGUUAGGUACACAUCAAUAACAUGUAUAUCACAUAUACCUUUGUUCACUUUGCCAUCCUUCUUAUCCGCCAAAUACUUGGGGCAGUUCCGCUUCCAGUGACCAGUUUGCUUGCAGUAGAAGCACUCAGUUUCAGGCUUAGGUCCAGACUUGGGUUUCUUCUCUUGAGCAGCAACUUGCUUGUUGUUCUUCUUGAAGUUCCCCUUCUUCUUCCCUUUGCCCUUUUUCUUGAAACUAGUGGUCUUGUUAACCAUCAACACUUGAUGCUCCUUCUUGAUUUCUACCUCCGCAGCCUUUAGCAUUGCGAAGAGCUCGGGAAUUGUCUUGUUCAUCCCUUGCAUAUUAUAGUUCAUCACGAAGCUCGUGUAGCUUGGUGGCAGUGAUUGGAGAAUUCUGUCAAUGACGCUAUCAUCCGAAAGAUUAACUCCCAGUUGAAUCAAGUGAUUAUUAUACCCCGGACAUUUUGAGUAUAUGCUCACUAACAGAACUAUUCUCCUCCAUCUUGCAGCUGUAGAACUUAUUGGAGACUUCAUAUCUCUCAAUCUGGGCAUUUGCUUGAAAUAUUAACUUCAACUCCUGGAACAUCUCAUAUGCUCCAUGACGUUCAAAAUGUAGUUGAAGACCCGGUUCUAAGCCGUAAAGCAUGGCACACUGAACUACAGAGUAGUCAUCAGCUUUGCUCUGCCAGACGUUCACAACAUCUGGUGUUGCACUUGCAGCAAGCCUGACACCCAGCGGUGCUUCCAGGACGUAAUUCUUCUGUGCAGCAAUGAGGAUAAUCCUCAAGUUACGGACCCAGUCCGUGUAAUUACUACCAUCAUAUUUUAACUUUGCUUUCUCAAGGAAUGCAUUAAAAUUCAACGAAACAACAGCAUGAGCCAUCUAUCUACAACAAACAUAGACAAGCAAAAUACUAUCAGGUACUAAGUUCAUGAUAAAUUUAAGUUCAAUUAAUCAUAUUACUUAAGAACUCCCACUUAGAUAGAUAUCUCUCUAGUCAUCUAAGUGAUUACGUGAUCCAAAUCAACUAAACCAUAACCGAUCAUCACGUGAGAUGGAGUAGUUUUCAAUGGUGAACAUCACUAUGUUGAUCAUAUCUACUAUAUGAUUCACGCUCGACCUUUCGGUCUCUGUGUUCUGAGGCCAUAUCUGCAUAUGCUAGGCUCGUCAAGUAUAACCUGAAUAUUCUGCGUGUGCAAAACUGGCUUGCACCCGUUGUAGAUGGACGUAGAGCUUAUCACACCCGAUCAUCACGUGGUGUCUGGGCACGACGAACUUUGGCAACGGUGCAUAUUCAGGGAGAACACUCCUUGAUAAUUUUUAGUGAGAGAUCAUCUUAAAAUGCUACCGUCAAUCAAAGCAAGAUAAGAUGCAUAAAAGAUAAACAUCACAUGCAAUCAAUAUAAGUGAUAUGAUAUGGCCAUCAUCAUCUUGUGCUUGUGAUCUCCAUCUCCGAAGCACCGUCGUGAUCACCAUCGUCACUGGCGCGGCACCUUGAUCUUCAUCGUAGGAUCGUUGUCGUUUACGCCAUCUAUUGCUUCUACGACUAUCGCUACCGCUUAGUGAUAAAGUAAAGCAAUUAUAGGGCGUUUGUGUUUCAUACAAUAAAGCGACAACCAUAUGGCUCCUGCCAGUUGCCGAUAACUUCGGUUACAAAACAUGAUCAUCUCAUACAAUAAAUAUAGCAUCACGUCUUGACCAUAUCACAUCACAACAUGCCCUGCAAAAACAAUUUAGACGUCCUCUACUUUGUUGUUGCAAGUUUUACGUGGCUGCUACGGGCUUAGCAAGAACCGUUCUUACCUACGCAUCAAAACCACAACGAUAGUUCGUCAAGUUAGUGUUGUUUUAACCUUCGCAAGGACCGGGCGUAGCCACACUCGGUUCAACUAAAGUUGGAGAAACUGACACCCGCCAGCCACCUGUGUGCAAAGCACGUCGGUAGAACCAGUCUCGCGUAAGCGUACGCGUAAUGUCGGUCCGGACCGCUUCAUCCAACAAUACCGCUGAACCAAAGUAUGACAUGCUCGUAAGCAGUAUGACUUGUAUUGCCCACAACUCACUUGUGUUCUACUCGUGCAUAUGACAUCUACGCAUAAAACCUAGGCUCGGAUGCCACUAUUGGGGAACGUAGUAAUUUCAAAAAAAUUCCUAUGCACACGCAAGAUCAUGGUGAUGGCAUAGCAACGAGAGGGGAGAGUGUUGUCUACGUACCCUCGUAGACCGUAAGCGGAAGCGUUAUCACAACGCGGUUGACAUAGUCAUACGUCUUCACGACUUGACCGAUCCAAGCACCGAACGUACGGCACCUCCGUGUUCAGCACACGUUCAGCUCGAUGACGUUCCCCGGGCUCCAAUCCAGCAAAGCGUCGGGGAUGAGUUCCGUCAGCACGACGGCAUGGUGACGAUGAUGAUGUUCUACCGGCGCAGGGCUUCACCUAAACUCCGCGACGAUAUGACCGAGGUGGAAUAUGGUGGAGGGGGGCACCGCACACGGCUAAGGAACGAUCCGUAGAUCAACUUGUGUGUACUAGGGUGCCCCCUGCCCCCGUAUAUAAAGGAGCAAGGGGGAGGCCGGCCGGCCCCUUGGGGCGCGCCAAGGGGGAGGAGUCCUCCUCCUAGUAGGAGUAGGACUCCCCUUUUCCUACUCCUACUAGGAGGGGGAAAGGAAGGGGGAGAGGGGGAAGGAAAGAGGGGGGCGCCGCCCCCCCCCCCUCCUAGUCCAAUUCGGACCAGAGGGAGAGGGGGCACGCGGCCCACCCUGGCUGCCCCUCUCUCUUCCCACUAAGGCCCAUGUGGCCCAUUAACUCUCCCUGGGGGGUUCCGGUAACCCUCCGGCACUCCGGUUUUCUCCGAAAUCACCCGGAACACUUCCGGUGUCCGAAUAUAGUCGUCCAAUAUAUCAAUCUUUAUGUCUCGAUCAUUUCAAGACUCCUCGUCAUGUCUGUGAUCACAUCCGGGACUCCAAACAAACUUCGGUACAUCAAAACUUGUAAGCUCAUAAUAAAACUGUCAUCAUAACGUUAAACUUGUAGACAUGACCUAGAACUAUUCUCGGUCAAUAACCAAUAGUGGAACCUGGAUGUUCAUAUUGGUUCCUACAUAUUCUACGAAGAUCUUUAUCGGUCAAACCGCAUAACAACAUACGUUAUUCCCUUUGUCAUCGGUAUGUUACUUGCCCGAGAUUCGAUCGUCGGUAUCCAAUACCUAGUUCAAUCUCAUUACCGGCAAGUCCCUUUACUCGUUACAUAAUACAUCAUUUCAUAACUAACUCAUUAGUUACAAUGCUUGCAAGGCUUAAGUGAUGAGUAUUACCGAGAGGGCCCAGAGAUACCUCUCCGACAAUCGGAGUGACAAAACCUAAUCUCGAAUUAUGCCAACUCAACAUGUACCUUUGGAGACACCUGUAGAGCACCUUUAUAAUCACCCAGUUACGUUGUGACGUUUGGUAGCACACAAAGUGUUCCUCCGGUAAACGGGAGUUGCACAAUCUCAUAGUUGUAGGAACUUUGUAUAAGUCAUGAAGAAAGCAAUAGCAACAUACUAAACGAUCAAGUGCUAAGCUAACGGAAUGGGUCAAGUCAAUCACAACAUUCUCCUAAUGAUGUGAUCCCAUUAAUCAAAUGACAACACAUGUCUAUAGUUAGGAAACAUAACCAUCUUUGAUUAAUGAGCUAGUCAAGUAGAGGCAUACUAGUGACACUUUGUUUGUCUAUGUAUUCACACAUGUAUCAUGUUUCCGGUUAAUACAAUUCUAGCAUGAAUAAUAAACAUUUAUCAUGAUAUGAGGAAAUAAAUAAUAACUUUAUUAUUGCCUCUAGGGCAUAUUUCCUUCACCUAGGCACUAGGCGAAGGCCAACCGCCUCGCUUACGCCUACCGCUUUUUCCAACCUUGAUGAGAUUGAACUUGUGCCCUCUUCCCUUGUUGCUUGACACUAAUGGCCUUCUUCUUCAAUGGGCAAGAUCUAACAUGAUGCCCUUCUACUUUGCACUUGAAGCAAACAAUCUUGGCCGAAUUCUUGACUUGUUUUUGGCCCUUCCUUUUGUUCAUCUUGGACUUCUUCUUCUUAUUGGAGUUGAAUCCAAGUCCACCUUUGUCAUCGGGGGAUUUUUGCACACUCAAGAUAUUGUUGAGUGUGGAUUUCCCUUGAUGACUCUUUUCCAAGUCUUUCUUCAAAGAAGUGACUUGGGCCUUGAGCUCUUUGAUUUCCUCUACAUGGUUAGUCUCAACACAAGUACUAGAGGAAGUAUAAGCUUCAUCGUUAGAGCAACAAGGCAAGGAAAGCAAUUCAUCACAAGAUGUACCAACAUUGUGAGUAGAUGAAUUACAAGGACUAGCACAUGGCAAUAUACUAUUUUGACUAGAAGUAGUGCUAGUAUCCACAUGAGGCUCAAUCAUGGCCUCAUGAGCUAUCUUUAGCACACUAUGGGAUACUAGAAGAUCAUCAGGAGAGCUUGAGAGCUUUUCAUGACUUUCUUCCAAUUUCCCAUAAUUGCUAGAUAGCACCUCCAGUUGAGCCCGUAGCUCAACAUUCUCCUUCAAAAUGGAUGCUUCACAAGUAAUAGAAUUAGUAGCACAAGCAUCAUCAUUAACAACAAGAGGAGAAGGCAACUUGGCAACCUCUUUUAAAUAAGAGGCUUCAAGUUGGGCAUGAGACUCGGUGAGUUUGAUGAGCUCACCCUUGAUGAAUCUUGAGCCAUUUUCGAGGUGCUCAAAAUCCUCAAGGAGUCUAGCAUGAUAAACUUCAAGCUUAGCAUUUUUAGUUUUGAAAUCGUUGGCCACAUCAAGAGCUCUAUCAUGAGAUUCCCUCACUCUAGAUAAUUCUAGAGCAAAAGUCUCCUCAAGAGAUUUGGAGGUGGUUUGUUCAUGUUCAAGAGCUUGAGAUAGCUCCACGAUCUCAUUUGCGUAAUCACGCCCAUGAGCUUCCAUUUUCUCAAUGGUGACCUCAUGCUCCUCGAGAUGAGAUUCCAACUCCUCAAUAUAUUUGUUGCCCUCAAUGGCAAUGGACAUAAUUUCCAUGAAGUUGGAACAAGCAAUUUUAGUUUUAUGAAGAGCUUUAAAAAUCAUCUCCCCCUUAGUUUUUAAGGAGGCAACAUUAUCAUUCUCUUCAUCAUCAUCCUCAUCAUCAUUAGCAUCAACAUCAUCAUCAAGAGACAUAUUGGGGUACAAAGUAGGAGAUACCUUUGAUGCCUUAGCCAUAAGGCAAAAAGCAAUAGAUGAUGAUGUAGGAUCCCUUGAGGCACCAUUAAACACCACAUCUUGUUCCAUGGAGUGUUCGGUUUCCUCUACAUUGUUAGCACAAUAAUUCGAGGAAAUAGAUGCAUUUUUAUCAUGGCAACAAGACAUAGCAAGCAUAUCAUCAUGCGAUUUAGUCAAGCAAUUUCUACAUGAUAUGCAAGGACUAUCAACACAAGCAUGUGAAACAUUUGGAGUGCUCGAAGUGUUAAAGCCCAAAGAAGGAGCAUUACAAUAAUAUAGUGAUGAAGGAUCAUCCACAAUAAGCAUACUAUCACCAUUGCAAUGACCAACACUACUCACCAUAUCAUUACCUUGUGGCAAACCACAUGUAGGUGAAGUAGAAGAAGUUGAGAAGACUAUACGACCGGAGGUGGAGGGGGAACAAUCAUCCCAAAUAUUGGACACACCAUAUUUAUCUUGAAGCUUUGUCCACAACUCAUGAGCAUCCCGGAACGGCAUGAGUUGAAAAAUAACUACAUUGCUCAAAGCAUCAAAAAGCACAUUAGAAGCUUGAGCAUUGAGAUAAGAGUUUUUCUCAUCCUCUAAAGAUAAUCUUUGGGGAUCCUUUGGAGGAGAAAAACCCAUAUCUACAAUUCGCUCUAAAUUUGGGUCCAUGAGCCUAAAGAGAUUAAGCAUGCGAAUUACCCAAACAUCAAAAUUUGUGCCAUCGAAACUAAGUGUGUCAGAGAAUCCUAAUCCCCUAGUAGACAUCUUUACACUCUAGGCGGUUAAGCCUAAAAAAGAGAGACGAGGCUCUGAUACCAAUUGAAAGAUCGAGGAUGUCGCCUAGAGGGGGGGCUGAAUAGGCGCUUUAAAAUAAUUACGGUUUAGGCUUGAACAAAUGCGGAAUAAACCUAGCGGUUAAUUUGUCAAGCACAAAACCUACAACAAAUAGGUCACCUAUGUGCACCAACAACUUAUGCUAAGCAAGAUAAGCAACUAUGUGAUAGCAAGAUAUAUGACAAAAACAAUAUGGCUAUCACAAAGUAAAGUGCAUAAGUAAAGGGGCUCGGGUAAGAGAUAACCGAGGCACGCGGAGACGACGAUGUAUCCCGAAGUUCACACCCUUGCGGAUGCUAAUCUCCGUUUGGAGCGGUGUGGAGGCACAAUGCUCCCCAAGAAGCCACUAGGGCCACCGUAAUUUCCUCACGCCCUCGCAGAAUGCAAGAUGUCGUGAUUCCACUAAGGGGCCCUUGAGGGCGGUCACCGAACCCGUACAAAUGGCGACCCUUGGGGGCGGUCACCGAACCCGUACACUUUGGAAACCCUUGGGGGCGGUCAUCCGUACCCGUCAAAUUGCUCGGGGCGAUCUCCACAACCUAAUUGGAGACCCCGACGCUUGCCCGGAGCUUUACACCACAAUGAUUGAGCUCCGAACACCACCAACCGUCUAGGGCACCAAGGCACCCAAGAGGAACAAGCUCUAGGGUGCCCAAACACCCAAGAGUAAUAAGCUUCUCAAACUUCACUUCCACGUAUCACCGUGGAGAACUCAAACUGAUGCACCAAAUGCAAUGGCAAGGGCACACGGAGUGCCCAAGUCCUUCUCUCCCAAAUCCCACCAAAGCAACUAAUGCUAGGGAGGAAAAUGAGAGAAAGAACGAAAGAAGAACACGAAGAACUCCAAGAUCUAGAUCCAAGGGGUUCCCCUCACUUAGAGGAGAAAGUGAUUGGUGGAAACGUGGAUCUAGAUCUCCUCUCUCUUUUCCCUCAAGAACUAGCAAGAAUCCAUGGAGGGAUUGAGAGUUAGCAAGCUCGAAGAAGGUCAACAAUGGGGGAAGAACACGAGCUCAAGGGAUUAGGUUCAUUGGGGAAGAAGACCCCCUUUUAUAGGACCUCCCGAAUCCAACCAUUAUGUGCUCAGGUCGUGCACAAGCGGUACUACCGCUUGGAGGAGCGGUACUACCGCUUAGCACGGUCAAAACAGCCCAACGAGAGAGAAAACACGAGUUUUUGGUCCGGAGCGGUACUACCACUUAGGAGCCAUGGUAGUACUUCUCUGGAGCGGUACUACCGCUCAGGAGCCGCGGUAGUACCGCUCUAGAGCGGUAGUAAAAAAUUACAUCCGCUCUAGUCACGGUAGUACCGCUGCAGCCUUUACCAAAACAGCCACAACUUUUGCAAACGGACUCCGAAUUCAAUGAAACCAAGUUUGUUGGAAAGCUAACGACAUGGGAUAACACAAUAUUGAUAGAAAUAUCAAGAAUAAGAAAAUGAGAAAGGUCUUAUAAGAAAAUGGUGAGAACCCUUCAUCGGAUAAGACCGGUAAAACCUCCAACACCGAAAACAUCAUAGAAGACGCAUGCGAACUCCGUUUUCGAUGAACUCAAGCUUGUCAUCAAGAUGACCAUAAGCUCUAAGACUCACAAAUAUAACCAAACAAGAACCAAGAAACAUGAUGCAAGGAUGCAAUGGUUUCAGCUCUCUACUAACGAUACGAUCAAGCUACCAACUUGAGAGCCCCCCUUGAUAGUACGUCAAACGAUCCUAUAACUCAGUCUCCCAACUACCACCACAAGACCGGUAAAAUAGAAAACCUAUCAAGGGAAAAACUUUGCCUUGCACAUGGUCCACUUGAGCUUGAUGAAGACGAUCUUGACUCCCUCAAGUUGGACCACCUUUCUUGAUUGCGUUGGCUCGAUGAAGACUAGAUGAUUGCUCCCCCAUAAUUCACUAUGGGUGAGCCACUCUUCGGCACAUCUUCACAAGUCCAUUGACACCACAAUGGAUGGCAAGAUUCAAGCACUUGAUCUCUUCGUGAUGCUCCACUUGAACUUGCACACGGCAAUCUUGAUGACAAUCACCACUUGAUGUCAUCCUUUCCAUGGGUUGUAUGAUAUCUUCCUCUUGACGCAAGCCCAUGGAUACAUACCUAACCCCACAUACAACUCUCACAUAGACCAUGGGUUAGUACAUAAAGUGCAAUGGACAAUGCUUACCAUACCAUGGGAUCACUUGAUCCCUCUCGGUACAUCUUCUAUGCUUUGUGAGUUGAUCAACUUGAUUCACUAUUGACUUAGUCUUGAUCAACCUUGAAUCUUUGCAACUCUCUUCAUUUGGACGAUGUAUUGAAGGUAAACAUGAAUGAUCACACAACCUUCUUCUUCAAGACAUGCUUGCAAUAAGCUCAACACUCGCAUGAUCAAUCUUUGGAUAAUUCCUUAAUAGCACCUUGUUCAACUCAUAAACUCCUUGAAACCAACACAUGGACUUCAAGAAAAGCCUAUGGACAAAUCCUUCAAAUAUAACUCAAGACAACCAUUAGUCCAUAGAGAUUGUCAUCAAUUACCAAAACCAAACAUGGGGGCACCGCAUGUUCUUUCAGUGAUAAUAUUCGACGAUGUACGGACACCAAGAGAUGAUGUACUUUUGCUUAUAAUUAUUGAAUGCAUGCUAAUUUGAAUACUACUUUAUUUUAUGAUUUGGUUUUGCUUAUUUUAUGAUUUGAUUUUGCUUAUUGAAUGCUCAUAUCGGAUAAGUUCUCCUUCAUUCCCGUGUGCUAGACAAUUCGAUGUAAUAAUGCACUCGGGAAUGAAAGGAGGAGCUACGUACAUCACCGAUAGUCAACCCAUGAUUAAUAAUCUAGUUUAAUAUUAGAAUUAUGAACAUAGGCCGGAAAUGUCGUACUCGGACGACGAAAACCGUCCGGGGGAGUGCGACUAGUGCCACGACGACCGAGGUAUCUGCGACAGGUUCAUUGAGCUGGACGAAGAUCGUCGCUUCAGCAUUAAGCUCGAGGAGACCUUCGAUGUUCAUACGGUACGCAACCGACGACAAUAGUUUUUUUUGUAAUUAAUCAUGACUUCAACUAUUUUAAUCAUGACAACAUUUUUCAUCUUUUCCAAUUCGACUAGCUUAUCCCAUGCUUUGCAAGACGCUAUGUCUUGGAGAGGAUGGGUUUUAAAGACCAUGAAAGUUUCGAAACCAAAAACAUUAUCCUAAGUACCCAUCAUGGUGUGGAUUUUCAAGUAAAGUUGUACAAUGCUCAAAGUGUAACCCAUUUUGGUUGCAAAAAUUGGGAAGCACUUUGCAAGAUAUAUGGUCUUGAUGACGGUAUGCUUGUCACCAUGGAUCUUGGUGAUCCUACAAUCGAGCAAGAGAGACCUUAGAUUUGGGUCCUUGUGGAUACACCUCCAAUUCUUCCCCCAUGUGAGCUUAACAUAAUUAUUAAGUAAUUUAUAUUGUUUAUUUCAAAAUAGUUUACAACUUAUCUCCAUUGACAGCUUAUUUUCAUUCUUCAAAGAAUGUGCGAAAGAUGGUAGACAGAACCUACUACACCGAAGGCUCCGAAUUAACUUAUCAGGAGAAAAAUCAUCUGGUCGCAUUUUGGACUGAUCUUGAGAAUUACAAUAUCUACAAUCAAACUCCUCAACAUUAUGGUCAAUACGUGCCACUAGUGCACGUGUUGAACUACGGUAACUACCAUGGAGAUACCCUGGUAAGAUUAUUUUUUACUAUUACAACAUCUGUGCAUCUUUUUGCACACUUCUAAAACUAGUACAUUAUUGCUAACUACGAAGUUAUUACUAUGUUUUUCAACAGAUAAUCCCGAAUGAUUGUGUGCCUCAUCUGAUGUAUACGCAUGGUAGCCUUCAUGUUUUGAACAUACAACCAGGUCGUCCUACAAAUCUCAACUAUCCAUACCGGAUUUCUAAAAGAAGUGGAGACAUAACAAUCAAAGAAUGGAAAAAAUGUAUGGACAGUCGUAAGGAGCUUCUUGGAAGCAACAAGCAGCGAAGGGCAAGAAUUGGAGACAGGAUGAUCGCCAUUCUUCAUAAUGGAGAGUCAGGGUCUAUAUUGUUUUAUGCUAUUUUACCUUAAGGUUGUUUAGGUCCUACCUGAUACUAAUGAUCAUGUGCUAAGAACAAUUAUGUAGGGUUGGGUUCGAUGACUAUGAGGAUGAGGAUCGUAUGACUUAUUAUUAAUAACGAGUAGAAGUUGUAUGAUGAUGCAUGAUAUUAGUAGGACUUGUUAUUAUAUAUGAUGAUGUAUGAUGCGAGCAUGCAUGAGCAUGUUAUAUCAGCGGGUGAAAUGAACAUAGCAGCAGCGUUGAUAAACCAAGGACGAAGAUAUAAGAGAGGACACUUCUCUCUAUUAGCUAGCUAAUAACAACCUAAAAAUAACCCCCAAAACCCCUAAAGCAGCCACUUUUGGAAAAAAAAAGCAUGGACUUUUGGUCCCGGUUGGUGCCACCAACCGGGACCAAAGGCCCCCCUGACUGGGCUCGAUGGACCGGCCACGUGGAGGCACAUCUGUCCCGGUUCGUGUUUGAACCGGGACUAAUGGGUGGAGGUAUUUGUAACAACCCAUUAGUCCCGGUUCAUGAAUCGGGACUAAAGGCUCUUUCGAACCGGGACUAAUUGGUGUUUUUCUACUAGUGUACUAGCCAGCUCAAUUAGAUUAAUUGUUGUGUAAAAGGAAGCACGUCGCACUCUUUUGACCAUUCCACGAUGUUUUCUUUUUCUCUCUUCUUUGAGGAAUCUCCAUCACUCUCUCGUCCCCCUAUUUCUUUCUUAUUCGUAUUUAUCUUUACGUAAACACGCAAUGACGAUGAUUCAUAGGAAAUAAUCUUAGAUCGAGAAAGAAAUGUAUAAUCAAUGAUCUGAUUUCUGAAAAUGAUACUUUAGUGUGCACUUGAUUUGAGAGGGAUUGGGUAGAUUAGGAAUCUCCAACGUCUGUCCUCCCGCAUUUAACUUUUGAAGAAUGGACAAGAUGCACCAUCCCACAACAUGGUUAUUAUGUAGUUACCGGGCUAGAUGUACUAUAGUUACCAACAUGAUUACUAUGUAGUUAUCGGCCUAAAUGUACUAUAGUUAUCAACAUGGUUAUUACGGAGUUACCAUGCUCGAUGGACUAUAGUUAUCAACAUGGGCUACAUGCGGUAGAAUACACCCCCCCGGUAGCUUAUGUGUAAAUAGCAUGAUAAUUUACACAUCCCAGACCUGAUAACUCAUUCACAAACAUUGAUUACUUUUACCCGAGGAAAAAAAGUUGUUUGAAACCAUCCCCUCGUAGCUUAUGUGUAAGAAGCAUGAUAAUUUACACACCACGGACCUGAUAGACUAUGCACAAACACCGUGAUAAUUUUGACCUGAGAGAAAAAAGUUGUUAAGAACAUUUCUGAUAACUUACGCGUAAAUAAAAUGCUAAUGUAUGCACCGUAGAGUUGAUUAUUCACAUACAAAUGUCGUGUUUACUUUUUGAACCGGGUGAAAAAGUUGUGGAAAACAUACCCCGAUAACUUCUACCUAAAUAGCAUGGUAACAUACACACCUCGGCGUGAUAACUCACGCAAAAACACCGUGGUAACUUUGAUCAAGAGAAAAAGUAGUUGUUGAUACCAUACCCCCAAUAAUUUCCACGGAAAUAGCAUGUUAAUAUACUCAUUGCGGACAUGGUAACUUGCGCACAAACAUCACGACAACUUUUACCAAGAGAGUUUUUUGUUUGAAACCAUACCCUUGGUAAAUUUUGUGGAAAUAACAUGGUAAUAUAUGCACCAUAGACAUGAUAACUAAACAUACACCCGAUAAUUUUUGUGUAAAUAACAUGAUGAUGUAUCAUCGCAGACUUGAUAACUAAUAUUUUAUGUUUAAACACCAUGGUGUCUUUCAUCCAAGGGGAAAAAGUUUUUGAAACAUUUCACCGGUAAUUUCUAUGUUAAAUUAUCAUACUUUCCCAUGCUUUUAACCUUCUUGUACUGUAGUUACCAGCCUUAUCAUGGUAUAGUUAUCAUGUUACUCAGACCAUAGUUAUCACGCUGGUCAUUGCCAAAGUUACCAAGCCAAACUUUAUUUUUUCUUUUGAUAUGGCAGAAAUAAGAAAGGUUCAAAUAACAUUGUCAUUCUACAAAAGACAACAACAAAAGGUGGCUUAGUUGGUUAUUAGGCUCAAUAGGUAUUACAUAGACCUGGGUUUGAAUCCUCUUUCAAGCACUUUUAUUUUCUUUUCAUAUUAUGCAGCGAAAAACCAGAAAAAAUCACUAGCAAUUUACUACAAUUUUUGAGAGAAGGAAAAAAAUCAGUGGAAGCGGGAGAAACGACGCAGCGGGACGAGCUGAAGGAUCGAUCGAAGGUUGUGCAGAUGUGCGGAUCUGUUGCUAAUCACGAGUCGACUGAUGGUUAGCACAGUCCUUAUAAUAAUGAAAUACAUGGGUUUGGUCUAUUUUGUUUGGUUUUCGUUCCAUGCCGACAAUUCCAGCUUUCAUCUUCCAAAGCAAACAAGACGACUUUUGCAAGCGGAGAGAACGUGUUUCGGGGACUAUCCCCCGCACGUGUGUCAUCACUUCUACCUCGAGAACAAGCUGAGACGUGGCAUCCCGGACGCGUCCAGUAGCUGCACACGUCCGGCCUCUCUUUAAUGGGGAGUCACUAGUCACCGGCUCCCGCCGGCCAGCCCACUCAUGCCCGCACACGUAGUGCCUCCGGCGAUCAUAUCCCCUCGCCGCAGACGGCUUAUAAAUUGGGCCUCGUGCUGCACCUGCUUCCACAACCACAAGGUGCAGCUAAGUGAUCAAGUGAGCAAGACAACACACCAGAUUUCUAAGGGAAUCAAGAUCAGCAUCUGUGCAAGAUGGAGCACGGCCAGGCGACUAACCGCGUCGACGAGUACGGCAACCCGGUGGCCGGACAUGGCGUCGGCACCGGCAUGGGGGCGCACGGCGGCGUGGGCACCGGCGCGGCCGCUGGUGGGCAUUUCCAGCCCACGAGGGAGGAGCACAAGGCCGGAGGGAUCCUGCAGCGCUCCGGCAGCUCUAGUAGCUCCAGCUCGGUGCGUGUACAUACACUUCUUGCUUGUUGCUAACACUAGUUGUAAUUUGCAUUUUCCCGUUUAAAUGCAUCAACGACUGAAUUUUCUCGUUCGUCGUGAUAGUCUGAGGAUGAUGGCAUGGGCGGGAGGAGGAAGAAGGGCAUCAAGGGGAAGAUCAAGGAGAAGCUCCCCGGUGGCCAUGGCGACCAGCAACAGACCGCUGGCACCUAUGGGCAGCAGGGUCACACCGGAAUGACCGGCACCGGGGCGCAUGGUACAGCAGCCACUGGCGGCACCUACGGGCAGCAAGGACACACCGGAGUGACCGGCACGGGGACGCACGGCACCGACGGCACUGGCGAAAAGAAGGGCAUCAUGGACAAGAUCAAGGAGAAGCUGCCCGGACAGCACUGAGCGCGGCCCGCGGCAGCUACUUGAGAGUUGGGGUGCCGAGCUGGCCACCUUUGCAGAAUAAUAAGAUGGAGAUACAGUAGAACUUCCCGAAAUAAAGUGAGCUAGCUCACUCGUAAUAUCCGAGUUCUGAGUUUAGUGGACUUGAAUUUGGGUUGCUUGCUUGUAUUUGUAUGUACCCGGGACGUUUUGCACUCUGUACUUCGAUGUGUGAUUUUUUUUUGGUUGCAUUGUGUAUUUAUUAUAUGGGGAUAUACUGCAUUAUAUUUUGGUCUUUACUUGAGCUUUCUAUGUUAUUGCAUUUUUCGAAAUUUUGUGAGACAUAUUGUACAUUGCAUGGUAAAAUGUUUUAAGAGAAUUUGGAGCAUUCUAGGCAAUUG